CACACACACACAUCUCCUAAACCGGUCAAUUUUACAUUAUUUUUGUCUAUGAAACUGAUCUUUUAUACAAUAACUUAACGAGGCAUUGAUGGUUGUACUUCGUAGGCUGCUUGUUUGAUUCACAAAUCUUGAGGUAGUUGAGACAAAGUACAAAAAUGAGUACAUUUGGCAGUAUAAUUAAUGAAUAAGUUAUUGACUUUCUUCCUUAAUCCACAGGUUUCACUGUAUUAAUUAUUAAAUCACGUAAUAUGGACAAGGUGAACAGAAAGAUAUGGAUAUAAUAAACCAUUAAGUUAUAGGUUAACACGUGAUAAAUACACAAGAGACCGCAUAAUUAAAAUUUAACUUAAAACAAAGAUGACAACAGUACGUUAGUUAAGACAACAGCAAGCUUACAUCUUAGCUAGCUAGCUAGCUUAUGAAUCACAUAAUUACUAGGUCAUUAUUCGACUUGAUAUUCAUCAUUCUUCAUUCAUAUUUAUGGUACUGAUCACCAAUGGUUGGGAAUAUAUUUUUAUAUAGAGCCCGAGGAUCCGCUCGUGUAGGAAUUGAGGCUGAGCUCAAGAGAAGCUGAAGAAGAGGUGCUGCUACCAUCAUUGGAACCAUACCAGCCGGAGUAGUAGCUGCUUGAAUUUGGCUUGCUGUUGCAAUAAUUGUUGAUGCUGUCUUCGCCAUGCAUGGGAAAGAGAGGGAGGGUUUCAAUGCCUGGGUGACCAUUUUCUUCUUCUUCUUCGUCUUCUUUGUCAUUUCCUUGGUUGCCAUCCGCAGAGUUCUUCUGGCCAAAAAAAAUGUAUGAUGAAGUGUGUGGGUCUAUGCCAACCCAGCCAUAGUUUUGGCUUCUGGAUCCGCCAACAACACUGCUACCAGUUGAUGAUAUUGAGCAGUCCUAGUUUCAUUAACAAAAUAAACAUGCAAGAGAUCUGGUGAACAAAUGGACUUAAAUAAAAUUAAUUAACCAAAAGAGGAUUGUUAGUUUUCAUUAAAGAUGUUUCAAACAUGUACUCGUGCCGCUCUCUCCUUUUCAAUUUAAUUUGAACCAGAAAGCUAUAGAGGAAUGAUUCUGUUAGCAGAUAUAAACAAUCACAGCACAUGCAUGGGUACAUUUUAUGUUACUCGUUUUAUCCCACAAUUAGAUUCCUUUUGAAAUUUAGAAAGAAGUAGAGUAUAUGACCUCGUGUACCAACUUACCCUAAAAUUCUUCUCCAUGGUAACGGGUCCAUAUCCAUGGUCUCCCAUUUGACCACCAGUGUACACAGAAUAUGAAGGAAGUGUAGCAGAAACCCCAGCUACAAAAUCAUCAAAACCAAUUACAUAAUUAUUAGCCUAAAACCUCUGAAACAUUCAGGACAUAUAUAUAUGUAGUUAUGUAAAAGAAAGAUGAAACAAGUACCAGAGGUUAUAGACUGAGACCGCGAUUUGUUAGCGAAAUCUUCAGGUUUCCAGUUAGUAGCAGCAGCUGGUCUCUGGUGCAUGGGAAGAUUAUCAGCAGCAGAGGUGGAGCUGCCUUCGAUCUUCUUUUUCAGCCUCUCUCGAGCUUUGUAGUUCUGAAACCAAUAAAAGACAUUUUUACCUUCGAUCUUGCCGUACUGUCUAAGCCUAGCAGAGAUCUUCUGAAUUUGUUCCGCAGUUGGGGACCUAACGCCAUUAUUGUAGUAAAGUUCCUUCAAUAUUCGUAUCUGGUCAGUUGUGGGAGUCCAGCGUGGGCAUGUUGGCCUGCAGUGACAGUUGUUCCCUUUGCCGCUGCCGCCACAAGCCCCGUUUCCUUGGUGUUGGUUUUGCUGUUGUUGAGGUUCCAUAUGAUAUUAUAUAUGAUGCAAUCAAAACAAGGAGACGCAAACAAAGAAAAAAGCAAAGAGACAGAAAUACAAAAGAGAGAAAGUGAAAGAAAGGAUGGUAAGCAAAUCCGAAUGUGAAUGUGCAUGAAAUGGAGAGCGCUAGGCCAGUGAGUUAUAAAAGGAUGAUCAGAGGGCAAAAGUGGCACAUUGGUAGAUGAAGUAAGGAUAUUGGAGUAAUUAAAAUCUGUCUGAGCACUGAAGUUGACAGAGAGUAGUGUUAUCAAAAAGGUAAGGGACAAAAGAUGAUAUAGAAAGUGAGGGUAUCAGUGGGAAUCACUUCAUUGAUGAAAAGGCACGACCAAGUAUAUAUGGUUACCGGUUAGUAUCAUCAGCUUUAAUUUGAGAAAGACAGUGUGAAAAAUCAUAUAUUGUGCGGCACGAAAUUAUGAAUUAAAAAGCAAGGAAGAAGACAGUAGAGUGAAUGAAUGAAUGAAUGAACGCAAAUGUGCAAUAAAUUAAUGUAUUUUGUGAUUUAGAGUUCACGGCGAGUGGGGACUCUCCUUUUAAUAAGGUAUGGUCCCUGUUUUCACUUAAGGGUGAAAAUUUGUAUAAAUUUAUAAGAAUAGAAAAGCUAUUGCGCUAUCCGCCCUCCAUUUUCCAAUAUGUAGAGGAAUAUUACAUGAUCAGCUAGGCAUAGGUCCUUCUUCCUCACCUGUUACAUAAAUAGGUCGGUAGCUUUUAACAACUGUAUCAUAUAUGCAAUCUUUUCAUUGUCCUAGCUACUUUAUGUAAGAAAAUCAGGGAUUUCAAAAAUGAGACGCGAGUUCCUUAAAGAACUUGGAGACGUGUCAGUUGAAUAGGCUGUACAAAGAUGCUCUACGUGUAGGGUUUGGAAGAAAACAGUAUUUGAAAUCAAUUAUGAUAUUCAUGAUUGUAGGCGAUUACUUAAUUACUAUAGACGAUAAAAUGAACAACAGCUUGGCGAAUAAGAGUCCAUUAUGCCCGAUUGUCCAAGUGAGUUUUAAGCUUUUGAACAUAUAUAUAUAUAUAAUAAUAGUCCGUUGUAGAUUUUGAAAAAGCAAUUUCGAAACUACUAUUUAUUGGGCAACAUAGUAUAGGAUCUACUUGUUUAAUUUAUUAAAGAGUAUACUCCAAAUAAAACUUAUUUUAAGAGAUAGUGUCUCGUCAAUUAAUUACUCUCCUUUUCCCUUUCUAUUCUCAACUAGUAAUAACGUUAAAGCAAGGUGGUUUAAAGUAGAACAACUUUAUCUAAAAGAGGAAACCUUUUAUUUAUUGGAGCCAACUUUGCGCUGAAAUGAUUGUCAGGAAUUGUAUUGAGAGAAUCAUGAUAUUCAAUGGAUAUCUCUCGUUGAAUUUAUGGUCGUAACUCAGAUUCUAAAUAAAACUAAUGGGCCAAAAUCUUUUCCGCAAACAAGCCGUUUUGUUUCACUAACCCUUGAAUGGAACUAUAUGGCUUGAAAUUGAAUCUAAUCAAGGAAAGGAAGCACCGAGAGAACAAUUGAAGUGAACAAAGAAUUAAUGAAGGAAAAACGAAUUUCACAAUCACAAAAGCGUACUAGUAGAGCACGCGCCCCUAAAAAUAAAUACAAAAGCAAUAAAUUGGUGUGGGGUCAUUGGUCAUUGUCUUUGAGACUUUAACACGUAAUAGAACAUCAUCAUCAUCAUCAUUAGAAAGAAGAACAAGAACUUACUUUCGCUUCCCUCCCCCAUCAAUUUGUACCCUCACCAUCCCCCAACAUCCGCAUUCAACACUUUUACGGACUCACGUUCUCGAGACUCGAACCUUAAAAAUAUUCAAGGAGAAUAUAUAAAAACCUUAUAGGCGAAAAUAUUCUUCAAAAACAGUAAGAAUAAUAGUAAUAAUACAGGAUUGCCAUUGCCUUAUGGCUCCCUAUCGAGCUAUAGAUUUCAUGUUGGGAUAGGCCGCCCAAAGAAAUCGAGAAGUUCAUCUUGCGUGAUUUGUCUUGGUUAUUAAUCUUGACUAGUUUUCUUUAACAAUAUUUGGCACUCUACUUUCACUUAAUUUUUACUUGUUUAUUUAGUUUAAUAAUCUUUCCCACAAUUACCCUUGCAGCUGGUAGGGUUAAUUUUAUUUACUUUCAUUGGUAAUUCAAAAAUUGAAAGACAGCUUCGAUCAUGUUAGUUGUGUGUAUACACAUAGAUCUUGCAAUGCCAUUGCCCAUUCUCUAGCUAAAUUAGCAUUAGAGAAAUGUGAAACUGUUGUAUGGAGGGAUUCAUAUCCUCUACAAAUCAUGUAUCUAUUAUCUCCUCUAAAUUAAUAGAAGUUUCUUUUCAAAAAAAAAAAAAAAAAGUAUAAAGAUCGUUGGCUUUAUAAUUGGAAAGAAGCAGAUGUGAGUACCAAUGUUGCACUUAAACGAAGGAUCUUAUAUGCCUAUUCAAACAAUGAACGGUAUACAUGGAAUCUGGAUAUUCUUAAUAUCUUUUGCAGAAAAGAAAAGGGAAUAGAUUUGCAUCUUAUGUCCAAUCCUUCGUAUAGUGACAAUUGUUGGCUUUUAUGAGAUUAGAGUUUCCACGGUGUGCAUAGUUUUCAAUAAUCAAGCUGAUAUUUGAUGAUAUAAGCCACAGAGAUUGCAGCAUGUUCUUUUCUUUCUUUUAGUCUUCCUCUCAUGAUUACUAAGAGAGAUAGCUUAAAUAUUAUAAUUAUAAUUAUUAGCUCAAAAUAAUUCUUUUAGAAAGCACUUUUUGGUAUGCUUUCAUUCAUCCUUCUACUGAUUGCUUAAUUCCUGUGGUCUCGUGUAUGCCAGAAAGAAGUGACGGAUCCAUGGGGGAAAUAAAAAAAAAAAACAAGAUUUCUUGGAUUUUUGGAGUUUUUGUUGCUUACUUUAAUACAAAGAUCAAUUCUCAUAAUAAUAGCGUACUAAAAAAGGUUAUACUUCUUGGUUUCUGCAUUUUUAUUUUUGGGAAAAUUAAACUGAAAUGUUUAGUCUCAUUGAAAUCCAUUCUUCUGAAAUACUUGAUUCUUUGAGAUCUUGUUAUGACACUUACCAUCAUGAGAUUUUCCUCUCCUUAUCAUUCAUUUACUUGAACUUUCUCUUAAUUAACCUUUUUUUUUUUUUUUUCCUUUCAGAUGGAGCAUGGAGGGAAAGCGUUUGUUUCUUGGGAAAAUAAUCUCUAGUAGUAGUAGUCAUUCUCUUGGUCAUCAACUUUUCUUGAGAAAUUGAUUUGGCAGUCCACAAUAUCUGCCUCUCUCUCUCUUAUCCAAAAUUUCUGAGGUGCUUACCUCAUGAAAUUUUCCCUAUUAGUUUGUAGCCGUAGUGAUACUGUGGCACUGGCGCGCGCACACUCACUUUUCUUUCGAGUCAUCAAUUCCUCUUGCUAGCUUCCUAUUGUCACACUCUAGCUAUCACAUUAUCACUUCAUAUCUCAUCUCCUACUACUUCUAGGGCUACGGCUAAGCAGUCUAAUUUUCGCUUUACUUUAUGUCUUUACUAAUUCUAAGACAAGGACUAGCAACCGCAUCGAGGAGGAAAUCCCCAGCCACAAGAUUUUGUCUUUACUGUGUCCCUCUAAAUUUCUUUAUAUUAUAUUACAGGGAGUUGCUACGAUAAGGUACUCUAUACUACUAUUAUUUGUUCAAUUUCGUAACCCUCGCAAUCUUACACACAUUUGUAUUUAGAUUUACAACCUUACAAUUUUUAUUUUGUGUGCGCACAACAACACUAUGGAAGCAUUUAUUUCUGGACGUGAAGUGAAAAUCUUAAGAUUAAAAGUGUGAAGUAAGAGUAGAAAUAGAUUAUUUAUUUAUUUAUACUGAAAUGAGAGUGUGAAAUAAGAAUUAAAAUCUCAUUUAUGUAUUUAUUUUUAUCUUGGAUUGGGAGUAAAUUAUUUCAAAUCACAGUUUUACUACUUUUACUUUUACCCUUAUUUAAAUACUAGUAACUUUAAUUACAAAGUGAAUAAAAAAUAUAUUUGUAAAAUAAACUAUUUAUUAAUAUUCUUAAUUAUAUAAAUCAUAAAUUUUUUUAUUAAUUUUAAUUUUAAAUAAAAAUUGUUGAUAAGAGCAACACAACUAAAACAUCAUUAUUAAUAAUAUAGUACAAAUUAAUAUUUUCUUAGAAUAAACUAUUCAUUAUUAUUAAUUAUUAAUAUUAAAUAAAUAUAAUACUAUUAAAAUUAAAUAAAGGCAUUAAUAUUAUAUUUUCAAAUAAAGACAGUAUUAUUAAUUCUCUAUGAAUAUGAUAAUUUUUUUAAGUAAUUUUAACUUAAAAUCAAUAUAAAUUAUUAUUUUAACUAAAUAUAAUAAUAAUAUAUUUAAAUAAGCUUAAUAUUAUUAAAUAAAUGUAAUAUUAUUUUAGUUUAAUAAAUAUAAUCAUAUUAUAUUUAAUAAGAGAAUGGUAAAAAGAGAAGAAGUGGGAGUGGAUCUUUUUGAGAGUCAAAUCUCACUCCUUACUUAAAAAAUGAGUAGAAUCUAUUGAGUGAGACUCUCACUUCUUUUCUUAAAUGAGUAAAUAAGUAUUAUGUUGAAAGAAAUUUACAUUUCUACUCUAACAAAUAAACAUUGCAUCUAAUGUUGCAUGCACAGAGACUAAAGUUUGACGCUACUAUCACGACUGUUAAUGAAUCACACUAUACACCAAAUAAUCAUACUGUACUUUGUUGUAAUGCUGGAACCCAAACCUCCCAGCCGUUGCGUAAAAUGUAUGGUUGGACCACUCUUAGAAUCAUCCUCAGUCUCAUAUUUAUUGCUUCUGGUCUUGCUUGCUCCGAGUUAAUUACAUUGUAUCGCCACCAUGUCAACAAAACAUCGCAUGCUUCAACUUCAUUUGGUAACCUCGUUAAAAGAGGGCCCCCCCGUCGGGGGUGGGGGGAUUUCAAUUUUCUAUCAUCUAUUGAAACAUAAAUAAAGAUAUACGAACACUUUCAACGGAGAUUUGAAUAGAUCUAUGAGCUUUCAAUAUGAUAUAUGCGAGUACUAUUUCGUAUUGUAAAAAAAUUACUAAAACAAAGUUUACUCAAGUCAUUUCAGAUUUUAAGUCAUUUCUAUCACUUUGCUUUUCUGUCAAAAUAACACAAAAUAGCAUUAUUCUUUUACGAAAAGCUUGAAAUAUUAUUAAAUAUAACAAAAUAAUACAAAGGAAUCCUACAUUUGAGUCUUCAUGUGUGAUGUAUCACUCAUCUUAUUAUUUUAUUCUAUCAGUUGAUAAAUAAUAUCACAUUAAUUGGAACUCAAAUUAAUAAUCAAAUAUGAAGAUUUCUAAGGUUAUAAAAAAAUAAUAUAACGUUAUCUAGUCAGGCCGGAAAUUGCUUUAUGGUAGCCCAUUCCUGGCCUAGACUUAGAACUGACUGAGGAUUAUCUUGCCCAACGGGAAGAGCCGUGCUGCUUUUUACUCCUUUAAUUGUUAUUAUAAUACUGAAGCAUUACUUUGCUGCUCAUUCCUUCACAAAGUAAAAUAAGCAGCAAAUACAGAAUGAAAAUUUUUGUAUUCUUCUCAGUUUCUUGGUUUUAGUUUGCUCCAUAAUUCAUCAAUUUCCCAUCUGUGUGAUGAGGUGUUUCAUGAGAGAGAAGCAAGAUAAGUAAUAUUCAUCCAACGAAAGCCAUUCUUUUGGCAUACAGAUUUCACAAAACUGAAAUGAAAAUUGUCACGUAUGGGUUGCACAAAACAGUUAUCGUUUGGGCCUCUUUCAGGACUCGGUAGUUUGCAAAGCCACUUGGAUUUUGGAGGAACAGGUGCUAUUGGCAUUUGCCAUCCCCUCAGUAUCCUCUCUUUCUUAUCUAGUAGUGAUAUUCAACCCUCGUAUAUUAACUCACAAGACCCCACUUUUUUUUUAUACCUUAUUAAGUUUUAAAAUCAUCCUCUUAUCUCAAAGAGAUCUCAUUUUUUUAUCACCAUCUACUUCUAAAUUCCAUUGUGUUUUAUCGUAACUAUCUUUUUCUUUUCAAAAACUUGGAUCAACACACUUAAAUGCAAGUCUAUCAUCCAUUAAUUAUAUAUAUAUAUAUAUAUAUAUAUAUAUAUAAUUAAUUGUCUGUUAUGUAAGUGUCUAUUAGAGGCUCUUUUAAAUAAAUAAAUUUAUAAAAUUCAAUAUUUUAUAUUGAAAAAAAUUGAAAAAAUAUAUCAAGUUGAGAUUGUGUUGUACUGCUCAUCAAAUCGCUAUAGAAUAAAUGGAAUACUUUGUUUCAAAAAAUAAAAUCAUUUGACGCUUAUAAUAUGCAAGUAAAAAUACAUAAGAGAAGAGAUGUUGGAUUAUUGAGUUUGAUUGAAAAGUAAAUAUAAUUUUUAUCCUUUAUGGUAAUUUUAGUAUCAAAGGGGUCUCAUGGGAUGAAACGCGGGACUGAAUAACUACACUCUUCUUAUCACCCCUUUACUGAAUAAUCCACUAAAUAUUUUUGAAAAAUAAUCACCACCUCCUCAUUUCAUCGAUAAUUCUUUUCUUUUCCAAAUAGACAUCUUUGUAAAUUGUAAUUAAAAGAGUCCUUUUUUAAUGCCAAGAGUUAUUUUAUUUUAUAAUUAUUUGGGGUAAAUUGAGUAAAAAAUUUUGUGAAUUAAAUUCUCUUUAAUACCCUUAUUUAAUCUCAUAAUCUUUUUUAAUUCAUUUUAUGAACUAACUUUAAACAAGUUAUUUUUAAAAAUAAUUUUAUAAUUUUUAAUAAAAAGUGAAUUUUUUUUUUUUUAAAAAAUAUCAGUCAAAGAUUUACAAUUAUACUAAAUGAAGCCUUAAUUCCUGAAAAGGAAUUAGAAGGGUAUUACGUCUUACUUUGAGAAACUCAUAGAAAAUCUACACUAAGCCCGUAUUUGGUUGGAAAAAAUGAUAGAAGAGGAGAGGAAUGAAAAGAAAGAAGGGGAGAGAAAAUAAUUGAAAAAGAAAAUCAUUUUCAUUUUCAUUGUUUAGAAUUUUGGAUGGAUAAAGAAUUCAUUUUUCUACCCUUAUUUUUCUCCCUCUCCUCCUUUCCUCUAUUCUCCUCUCCUUAUAAUUUUUCAAACUAAACAUGCCAUAAGUGAAUCCUUAAUUUUGUAAAAGGAAUUAGAAAGUGGUAGCAGUAAUUGUGCAGAAUCUACCAAUCAUAACAAGCUUCUGCCUACCGAUGGGUACGAAGCGUAGCGCCAAGCCCAAAUUCUGUUUACCAUAUUCUAACUAUCAAAGUUUGAUUUUGAUGCCACCGUCGGAUUUGAGUCUGGUCACACAAUGUUUGGGUAUCCAGUAAUUAUCUUAAUUAAAAUAAUGCACAUAUUUCAAAGCAUCAACUAAAUUGUCUAUAAUAUAUAAUCAAUAUGGGACACCUCAACGAUUUAUCCAAUUAAAUUUCAUGGCUACAAAGAGAGUUUAGUUACUGUCAAAUAUCAAGUGAGUAGACAAUUUAGUUGAUGCUUUGAAAAUCCAUUACAGGCUUGAUGCUUUCCUAAAUUUAUGAAAGAUAAUUAUUCUUGAGUUGUCUCCCACAUUGGUUAGUAAAAGAAAGAUACUUAGGUUAAUAAGUAGGAUAUGUCACUCUACACAAUAAGUUAAUUUUUUAGGUUGAAUACUUAAAAAUUUUAAGCCAACCCCCCCUCCCCAAUAAUUGGUAUUAGAGCUAGACCCUAGUUGUUAAAAUGUGGUGGUAAAACAACUCAGGUAUGUGUCGAACGAAAGGAUCGGAGUCCGACAAUGGUUUCAUCUAUAGUGGUGGAACAACUCAGGUAUGUGUUGGACGAAAGAAUCAGAGUUCGACAAUGGUUUCGUCUGAGGGAGGAUUAUUGAGUUGCAUUCCACAUUGGCUACACAUUAACUAGUAAAAAAAGAUACUUGGGUUAAUAAGUACGGUAGGCCACUCUAUCAAAUAAGAUAUUUCAUCAAUUAAGACGUGGAGGCCUUGUCUAUUUUAGAGAUCAAACACUCCUAUUAUGAUUCAGUCAAAUUUCAAUUAUGGCCAAUGAAAUUUGUUUAUUUAUCAUCAUCAUCAUCUUUAGGAGAGUGCAAGUUGCAAAUUCUGUGACAAAAUUGCUAAACUAGUCCAUGCAAUUUUUUUGAGACUUUAGUUCAUGUUGCAAUUUGUUGGCGAAAGAAUUGGUCAAUUGGAGACUUGGAGUGGCGCCAUGCGAGCACUGUCUAGCUGGUACCAUUUCAUGGUCCACAAAAAUCAUGAUUAAUACCUUCUAAUAAGCUAGUGUUCUGAAUGUACUUCAACCAUCCAACAAUCUGCGUUUACUUGUUGUAGAAAAAUGUCUUCCACAGUAAUUGAGAGACUAAUUCAAUAAUUUUAAUUUUUCUUUUUUUUUUGGAUGGUAGCAUAAAUGAUUAAUUAAUGAAAGAAAAGAAUUUUAGGUUUAUGCUAGAUGUGCCUAUAAAAUAUUUUAUUUUAUUUUUAACUUCGAUGAAAGUGAUUUUUUUUAGUAAAUUAAUAGUUAUUUAUAGAUCAUUAGACCGCAGGUUUAAUGAUGGACGAAUGCCCUCACUAAUAUUGAGAAUAUCUGCCCUAACCUUAAUAUAUUGAUCAUAGUAAAACAUUAUUUCAAACAUUAUAUGUUACAUUAAAUUGUUAGAAUUAUUCUUAAAAAAUAUGUUUCAUAAUUCAAUAUCUAAGGAGUGUUUGGAGAAUUAUCUCCAACAUUAUAAAUAUUCGUCAAAAUUUAAAUGUCAAAACGUUUAUUACAAAGGGAAACUCAUGCACGCAUAACCUUCUUAAGGCAAUAUAGGGAACCACGUUACACACGGGCGAAAAGUUUGAGCAAAAUCAAACUCAUUCACAUUUGAUUGUUAAUUCAGUUAGUAUUGAAUUUGCCUUUGGACAAAGCAUUGAUCAUUGACUAGUUUCAAUCAGGAGUCGGUCGGGCGUUUAUUGCGUCUUCAAAACGAUGGUGAGACCCUACUCUUAUCUCUGUAGACGAAUCAUCGGCGUCUGGUGAGGGGUAGUAAUCUAGUUUGAUCUGCGCAUCCCUGGCUUUCUUAGGAUUUGGAGUUGGAGAAAUCAACAUCGACAUGAAAUGUUCGCGUGCAGUGCAAUCUACGAACACUUUCCUCAGCGUAAUACAGUUGCCUGUCAACGCAGCUGCAAGCCUCGAUAGACUCCUCUGGCUAACAUCAGGGUCUUUCGCUGGCCAAUAAUCAAGCUCUUUCAAUGUCAAAUUCCCAAUUCCAUUCAACACAAAUCUAUCCCACGUGCUCAAAUCUGCUGCUCUAUAAGGCGCGGCUUGAUUAUGCCCGUCGGUAUCACCAAAAUCCAAUACCAAUUUUGAAAGCCGAGGAUACCUUGUGAGGCAGCUUAAUCCCCACGCUUUGUCAUCUCGCAGUAACUGCUUCUCUCGCGUAUCUCCUUCCAUCUUUAUACGAAUGUUCUCCAAAAUGGGACAUUCAUCGAGACCAGCCACAGGCAAGGGCCUCAAAAGCUCACCUACUUCAAUCCAAAAAAGACAAUUCUUUCAAACUCUUCCACCUCUUCAUGCACAAAUGAUGAUUAACUACUCCCUUUCCUUUCAAACUAUCUUCGAGAAAAUAAUGCUUGCGUUUCCUGUUGCUGGGCAAUUCAUCAUCAACAUUAUACAUCAAUUCAUUGAGGUAUCGAAGCAUGGACCUUUUGCUUCUGAACUCCGAAUUCCAUCCCAUACGCAGUCAAUAUGCAGCUUUUGAAUUCGAUCACGAAUUGGCUUCAGAGCUUUGCAUGAUGCCACAGCGCCAAGAUUCUCACAACAAUAGAUCUUGAUCACCACAAGAGUUUCGCGAAGCAAACUAGCUAGUGUUCUCAACCCAUCAACCGUAAUGUUCUUGCAUUCCUCAACUUCAAACUUAACGAGCUUACUGCACCCUCUUCCAAUGGCCACCAAGCUCAUAUCACUCAAGUCCCCGCAAUUCUUUAUCGACAAAGACUCGAGCCACUUCCAGCAAGGCAACCCCAUCAAGUUGCUUCCAAUUACUCGCCAAACAAACACCAUGCAACUGUACUAGCUUCAACCCUUUCAAAUUUACACACUUUGACUUCAGCGCUUCCGAAGCCGAACCGCUGUCUCUCACAUUCCUUCCCACAUCGAGAGCCAAUUCUUCAAGCAGAGGCAAGCCGCUAAACAGCUGUAUCAAACCCUCUUCACUGAUUCUUGCAUCCUCUGCUGUGAAACCGUCGUCGUCAGGAUCUCCUCGCAUCGCAGCCAGCGUCGAGGUUUCGGCCAGAUGAAGAAGCGUUAACCUAGGACAGUUUGUUGCUAUAGCUCAUAAAGUUUCGUCGCUGAAAAAACCGAAGCACCUCGUAUCAAACACACAGCCCACUUGUUCAAAUUGGGACGCGUGGCUAUGAUUUCGAUAAUCUCUUGGGGCCUAUAACCUUCGGAAAACGAUGUCGUAAGGAGAUUUAAGCAAGUGAGAAUUGCUGAUUUGUCUGGAUAAGCUUUAAGAACCGGUGGGAGAUCUUCUGUCCAGUGAUAGAAACUAGAAAGAUCGACAGAAGUAAGACACUUGCAAUGUUUUAAUAACGGAACAAACUCCGCGCCAAAACCUUCCGGUGGACGUGGAUGCCAACGAACUAACUUGACGUGGCUCAAACUCUGCCACAUAGGAAACUCAUUUGCAAGAGGUCAGCCAGGAGACGUGGAUCCAUCGAUGAAGAUGAAGGAGAGAAAAGAAGUGAGUGGCCCCACGGUGAGAUAUUAGAGAGUUGUAGGUUUGUGACGGCAUCGAAACAGAGAGGGACAAUGUUGAGAUUGCACGCGUUGCCACGGAGCGUAAUGGAGGUACGAGUGGCUCUCCAGGCUGCAGAAUUUCUCGCUCACUAAAGAAACCGAGUUCCUAGUGCGCGUCGAUGAUUGUAGCCAAAAUGUCCGAUAAAAUUAUGUUGGGAAGAUCACUGAUUGUCGUCGUUGAAGAUUCGGCCAUGGUAAUAUCGCUGGCCGGCCGGGUGGUCUCGUGCUUGCUUGGUGUUUUUCUAAAGAGUCUUCGUUGAGCUCUGAAUCGAAGCAAAGCAAAUGGCCAAAUUUAUGAACCACGGGGCACGUGAGUACUGCAAGGGUAAUUUUGACGAUGGCGGAGGGCUUUACUGUCUUUUCAGGGACUCCUCUGCAAAUUAUUUGUACAGCGUAGUAGGACCCCAAUCCCCAUUCUUUAUUUUUGGAUAAAAAAAGUUUUACGGGCUUGGCGUAUUUUGUAGGUAAAAACACUUUUGUGAGGAAAAAGUGCUUGUUUCUUGCAAUCAAGAGUGAUUUUCGGGGGCACAAAAAAAAAAAAAAAAAAAAAAGCUUGGUCUAAGUGGUGGGGUGUGCUUAACAUGUUGAAGGUGCGAUUACUUUCAUUAAGGGACUUAAUAACAAAUUCUUUUCAAUAACUUCACUUUGGAUGGGUAGAUGUCUCUCUAAAUAUUAGUAUGGCGUGUGCACACACACAUAUAUAUUCAUUUAGUCAUGAAGACAGAGAUUAUGUCAUUAAUUUUUAAAUAAUACUCCCUGAAAUUUUAAAUAACAUUAUAAAUGUAUGAAAUCAGAUUCCUAAUAAAUCUCAUUUUGCAAUAUCUAUAAAUUGUAAUAAUUUUUUUUUUUUAAAAAAGAGCAAAUGAAAGAAUGUACUUUAUAAUUUUUUUUGCAAAAAAAUAAAAAUAUAAGUGCUUUUCAUAAAAGUUAAACUUUGUUUAUUUGCUUAUUGUAAAAUUUAAAUUUUGAUACUCUUAAAAAAGUUUUUCUUUUAGCUUUUCUGAAACUACUAGGAACGAUGGCAUUUUUACUUUGUUAUUACUUAAUUAAAAUAAGCAAAAAUGAUUUUACUUUGUUGAGUUUACGAAAUCUAACAUUAUUACCUUUCUCUUUCUUCAUUAGUUUGGUGAGAGACGAACAAGAAUGGUAACUUAGUUGUUUAAGUUAUAUAUUGAUCUGUAGUAUGCACUUGUACGUUGUGAAUAAGUAGGUUAGUUGAUUGUAACUGAGCUUUUACACCCUCUAUCACUUGAGUUCGAGAAAAAAAUGAAGAAAAAUGUUGAUUAUUAAUUCAUUGCAUAGUAAAAUGACUUAUGUGGAUAAUAAUUUGAUUUAGUUAAUAUUAGGAUUUUUUUAUCAUAUUUACAAACUUUUAAAAGUUUGAGUACAAAUUUUAUUGUUUGAAAUAAAUAACCUUUAUAAAUUUUAUAAUUACUGAAUUUGGAUGCAGUGUUGACGAUAUAAAUUGUGCUAUUAUUUUAAAGAUCUUCUACCACAUGUAUAUGAGUGUAUAGUAAAGAUGUAAUUACAUAUUUAUUUUCAUCUAAUAAAAAAAUUAAAAAUUAAAAAAUUGUGUGCUUAAUAAUAAUUCAAGUUAAAUAAUUAGUACCAGCAACAACAAUCAAGCAUGUAAUGGUCAAAAUAUUUAGGAACAUACAUUUUUUUUAGUAAGAGCAACUUCUAAACCCACCCUUACAAAAAAGAAAUGAAAGUGAACAUAUGAAAACUAAUCAAGUACUUGGCAUUCAGUUUGACAUAUAACUAACUAAAAGCUAAGUCUGUUCUGUACAUUAUUAAAUGCUACAAAUAAGGUAGUAAUGCUUUUGAUGAUAGAUGAGUAUGAAUGUUGAUGCUAACAAAUUAAAUAGGGUUGUGUAGAAUUAAAUUUCAAUCUUUUUUAUCUAAAAGCAGGGAAGAACCACCAUGUAGAAUUGAGAAGGAUUUUUCAACAAAGAACUGCUAGCAGCAGUUAGUUUCCUUGAGAUGAGAGUACUACUAGUAUAGAUAGUAAAGUAAACAUGCUUGUUUCUUUUUUCUUCUUUCAAGACAUUAAUACUAAGGUAGAGAUACUUGUUUCUUUUUUUUUUUAAGACAUUAAUACUGUUUUGUUGUUCAAUGCCUCAACAACUCGCUUUUGUUUGUACUUGAGAGUCAAAUUGUUGCAGCUCCAGCCACAGUUGUAAUAACAACUUUGAAUUGAAAUUUUAAUAUCAUGCUUUUUGUUAUGGUUCUAGUUUGAAUCUCUAUUAUCAUUCUGAUCCCUAAUUUUAUUUCCUUUUAUUCUAUAUAUGUGUAUGUUUUGUCUAAGAAAGAAAAAGGUAAUCACUUAUUGUAAUUGAGUAGUUAUCAUAGAAAAAGUCAAAAUGGUUAAUUUUGAAAAAUCUAAAAACUUUUAGACUAGUCAUGUAAAUUUUCCCUCACUUUUGACGGGAGUAAAACAUUAUACAGAACAAUUCCAAUAAGAUUAUUCAAUAAUAUGAAGCUACAUUUUUUCAAUUAUGAGCUCUCAUAAAUUUUUAAAGAUUUCGUGUCAUGUGUCUUUAAAUAAUAGUGUAUAGGUAGAAUUUAACUGCUUCAUUUUCUUUAUUUAUUAACUACCAAUCACCCACAUGUAUUUUUGCGUAAGAAGAAAUCAAAUCAUGAGAAAAUCCUAAUUCUUUCCAAUUCCCAUCUUUUGACACUUAUUUAAUUCAAACAUGCUUACAAUGUGGUAUGUCAUUUUUAGCUAAUAAUUUCUCAAGAAUUGUGAGUUGAGUAAUGCUAAAGAGAGAGGAAUAUGAGAGAAUUUUGCUCUCUCUGUCUCUCUCUACCCAGCCCACUUUCUCUCUUCUUUUCAAUACAUUUUCUCUCAUCUUUCUCUCUUUUUAACAUUUUUCUUAUGAUUUUUCUUUUCUUGUACUAUGUUGUUAUCAUUUUAAAAGAAAGGUAUCUCAUUAGAUAACUUCUUUUUUUUUUUUUUUUUGAAUGAAUCUCAUCAGAUAACUUAAGUCACAGAGAAAAAGUAAAAUGAUAGGAAGGCCGAAGGCUGUUGCAAUUUUUUUUUUUUUUUUUUUUGGAUAGGAAGGCUAUUGGCAAUUGAAAGGCAAAUCUUGUACAAAGUCGGUGAUUCUCGGUCAGUCGCUCACUCUAGACCCAUCAGAUGUUUUUACAUAGAAGUUUCACUUUUGCUACCAUCAACUGAAAGGCAACUCUUUUGUGUAUGUCCUCGUUUGCUUAAAAUGAUUCGUUUCACUCUGCUGCUAGCCUACUUAUUAAUAUAAAAGUUCAGAAUUAUUAUCAUGACACUCAUUUGUGAAUAAGAAGACGCUUUUUCUAGUAUUUUCACCUUGCAAACAGCCAGAGAAAAAGUCUGCAGAAUGUCUGAUUAACACAACCAAAACUCUUCACGUUCCAGUACCAUCACCUCUAAUAUAUACAACCACCAUUUUUCUUCUCAUUCUUCUUCUCAUUGCAUGUUUAUAAGCGUUCCAAAUCGUAAUUUCCAUCUCAUCAUAAUAUACACAACCAUUUAAAAUCCUAAUUGAUUCAGAUUCUUCAACCGAAUAAGAACAGAAAAAAUAAAUACAUAAAUUCAUAGAGUACCAAUACAGGUGCAAAAAAAUUGUGCUUGGCAUCUCAAUUAUAAAAAAAUCAAUCAAGGAUCUCCUAUUUGUCCUUCAAACUUGUACAAAAACCGUGCCAGCACCAGCCAACAUUUGAUGCUAACCUUUGCUAUUCAACAACCGACUUCCUCGUCAGGAUAUGAAAGAAAUCCAGAACUUCCAAACUUCCAACUACAGAACCAAGGUUCAUGAUCAUAUCUUUGUCGCAUGCUUUAUAUCAAAGCCAAAUAGGCUACAUAUUAAGAAAUUGUCACAGCUGCCAACUCCCUAUUCAGUCACACAAAGACUUGUAGAUAUUGUUAGAAUCAAAUACGUAUGCUUAAGGUAUGCAUCACCACAUAUUACUGGUAUAAAUGCAACCACUUCCUUUUCAGCAGCUUCUUCAAAACCUAAAAUGACCUUGAGAAGAAACUCCAAAGAAAACAGCCAUAACAAACAUCAUCUAUCCAGAGCUGAGACCAGCAGUUGCACAGACCGAAUCUGAGAUAUUCAUAGAAAUCCAUCAGUUGCCCAGAUUUACUCUCACCCUCGGCUUAUCCGUAGGUCUACGCUGAUAACGACCUGGGUAAUGAUGUUGUGAACGGGCAUCACUUCUCUCCCCAUGUUCCCUUCCGUCCAUCUUAGGCUCUCUUCUAACUCGCUGCUUCUUCGCUAGGCCAUCAGAUUUGAAAAUUUUAGGUUUCUCCGCAUCAUAAGGCAAUGGCUGAAUGCCCUGUAAAUCAGGCUCAGGAACAAACCCAAAAGGACGUUUCGAUUCAUCCAUUUUUCUGAAUGUAAUUGAUAUCCUACAAGAAAUGCAAGACGGAAGAGUAAAUCAACUAUAACAGUAAUUAAUACAAACAACCAUUAACGAAUAUCACAAGGUCUUAACUUCUACCUCUUUGUAGGAACAGCAGGCACACAAUGCUUUGCCACAUCAGCUGCAUUCCCAUUUAAGACGAGAACAGAUCUGAAAGAAAUUAAUAAGUCUCAUGCAACAGAAAAUCACAAAUGCAGCAUAUAAUAUAUAAUUCAAAAGAAAAACCAAGCACAGUCCUGCAAAAAGAAAGGGGGUUGCACAUCAUACUUACCCCACAGGCAAAGCGAUUGGAAUUGAACCAGCAAACUCACCAGCACCUACAACCUUUAAGUUUGAUCCAAAAACAAUAUUGCACUCACUGAGAAAUGAAACAGUACAAAAAGGUCGAACAAAAUCGUGGUUAUCUAUAUGAGGUGGUAUGCAGUCCCCUUCUUCAUAGAUGUUAACUAUACAGCUAUCCGGCACGCAUGUUGGAGGAAGUACAUGCCACUUGACCAGCCUUCUGAUGAUCACUUUAAACAGAUGAGGCAGAGGAUCCACAGGUUCAUUUUGAAGAAUGCCCGGUGGAUUACCAUUUUUAUCCUGACAAUAAAACCAAAAAAAAAAAUCAUUAGCUUUAAAACCAUUUACUAAAGUACAUUUAAUGAUCAUAAUGUUACCAGAUACAAUUAUUAUCAAAACCCCAUAAGAAAGUGAGGUUUCAUCUUAUAUUCAACCAUAUACAAGCAACAUAGUGAAGGAAACUCACAGUUGCAUAAUUAUAACAGCAACCAAACUGGAUAGUUAUGCGCCCUUUGCCCCUCAUCCACUUCUUGGGUGCUGAAUACGUUUUCUCUGCAAAUAUUCCAACAAUAAUAUUGUCCCUCAGCAUCAAAAUAUGUACAUAAUUAAAAUAUAUAUAUUUAGGGCACAUUGAAUGAAAACAAACCAUUUGCAAAAAAAAAUGAGCAAGGAAUAUCUCUUCAGUUAAUCCAUCAAAUGAUAAAUGAUAUUUUUUAUUUUAAAAUAAAAAAAUGUUAUAAAAUCAUCUCUCUAACAAAGCAUAUGAAUAAAAUAAAAAAAUCAAAUGAAAAAUAGCAAAGGUAUUAGCUUUUAUUAAAGAUAUUCAUCAUGAAAAUGUGUAUGACAACUCAUUUUGUUGAUUGAAGAUCCUUUCAGUAGUAUAAAUCUGAAAAGUAGAAACCUAAGGUUCUUUUGUCAAACAGAUAAGUAUCGCACAAGUCUCCUGGACUAGAAGACUAUUUCCAUGUCAAGUCAAUGAAAGCUGGUAAUAUAGACACACUGAUCUAUCAAUAAGUUAAUCGUACUCUUGAUCAUCCAAGACAAUAAGUAGAUGUAAAUAAACAUAGCAAAUUUAAACAUGUUUACAAUUAUAGUAAUGGGUGUUAGCUUAAGUUCUUUUAUUCUGGUUAAUUUGAACAAUCUAGAAUCAUUAGUAAAUGGACACUUUGUUCUCAGGCCAAUCACAUAUUCACAUGCAUUCACACAAAGAAUGGAGCAGUGAGCCCAUAGUGAUCACAUAUAGCUAGAAACUAAGCAAAUAUUAUCAAAAGCAUAAUAGACAAAGAAUAAAAGAUACAGCUACAAAACCUUUGUACAAACUAAUGUGGCAUAACAUAAUUAAUUGAAUGAAAACAUCACUUGGCCGACAUGAUUUAUUUAUAUUAGUUCAUAUUUUAUUCAAUCAAUCAUGAUAGACAUAUAAGUUUGUAAAAAAUAGAAAUUGUAGAAGAGUUUGCAGCUGUAAUAAUACUCACGGACUAAUCACCUAAUCAUAAUAUCAAAAAGAAACUAAGCACAAAAGUAUGAUGAUACAGAAAAGCAUUUAGCUAAAAGAGCAUAUACAGAGUGCAGUAACAAGCACAACUAACCUUUCAAUUCUCCCUUUGUCCCCAUCUCAUUAAGCGUAUGAACAAAGUCAACAAUCCUCUUCUGUUCAGCUGCACUAAAAAUACCCUCAUGCAGCUCAAGUCCCGCCAAGAUAUUAACAAUUUUCCCUUUAAUCUUCUCCAAACAUAUGAAAUCCUUCUUCCUCCUCACAUGCAUAAACCGCAUGUGCUCUCUCUCUUCCCUAGACAACAUAGGCUUCUGAACAACCUUCGAAACACUCGACUCUUCCUUCAAAACAUUAACACCAUCAUUCACCUGCUUGUUCACUUUACGCUGCUCUUCUUCUCCCUCCUCCUCAAGCUCAUCUUCCUGAGCCAUGUCUGCCCAAGACAUGCGUGGACUUGGGGUUUCAGCCAAGUGUGAUUCAAACGCUAACCCACUACUUGCGGAAGCUUCUUGAUCGGGUUCGGAACCCCCAUUUGUCCCAUCUUUCCAACUCCCCAUUGAAUUAGUUUCUGCAGCGUCUUUCCAACUCCCAAGAGAAUUUGUAUCACAAUUAUCACAGUUAUCAUUCAUGCUCCCUGAAUCGACAUUGUUCUCACUAGUUGAAGCUCUAUUCUUAACUACAUUCGCAAAUUCCCUUUCACCGCCAUCUAAUUCUGAAAUCCAAUAAAUAAAACGUUCAAAGAGAGAAAAAAAAAAUACAAUUCAGAAUCACUAAAUCCUAAGCAGGAAAAACUAAAAUAAACUAAUGAUAAAACGUUCAAAAAGUAAUUGGAUCAUUAACUAAUGAUAAACGGCAGAAAGUUGAGAUUAUAAAUUACCUGGGUUGAGAGAGUGGAUGCGAUCGGAGAGGGUUUUGGAGCAAUUGUGGCAGAGAUCGCGGCAGAGGAAAGGGAGCCACGUGGUGAGAAACUCGGAGGCAAUUCUGAGUUCGGAGGAUUGGUACUGAAUAAGGAACGGAUCCUCCUUUUUGACUCGGUUGAGAUCGUUGUUAUUCAUGGCUGCACACCGAGCUAACUCGGUUCAGAUCGCUUGAAUUUAAGCAGGUGAGUAACUAACUGGUUAUAACUGUUCUGUAGGUGAAGACGACCGAGAGAUACACAAAUAACCGAAUGUUUAAGGCAAAACGAAUGGUGAAAGGUUAAAUAUUAGGAGAACAAGUUUUUCUGCUCUUUAUUUUUAGUGCUUGUCCACAAAAUUAAAAGACCGCAUUAUCGGAUACCGAUGUACAAAAUGAAAAAGCCAGGGGUACCUUUGGCAAUCCACUGAUAGGUCCGAAUCCAAUUCGGAUUCUCCUCGUACCAACUCGCAAGAAGGGGCGAAUAUAUAUGUAUCAAUUAUAUAUUUUUUUAUAUAUUAACUUUGAUAAUAUUUACAAUUUCUCAGAAUUCCCCUAAAUAAUCCUUAAUAAUCUUAUUAUGCUAUAGUGCGAAUAUUGACCUUUACUUAAUACAGAUGAAUAUUUACUGUACUCUAAAUGACGGGGGUAAAUAAACCCUUAUUAAAAAAAAAAUCGAAUCCCAACUAUUUAACUGCACGGAUUGCCAAUAGAAUACAAGAAGAAUCGAGUCCCAACCAUUUGACUACAUGGGUUGCCAAUAGAAUACAAGAAGAAUCGAGUCCCAACCAUUUGACUACAUGGGUUGCCAAUGGGAGACGAGUCCAUUGCCCAUUGGCAUAUGUAUCAAUUAUAUUAACAUAUAUUUUUCAGUAAGUUUUCUUUGCUCAUAUAAAAUAAUUCAAUCAUAUUUUUGAGUAAAAUUCAAGUAUUUUUAACUGUAUACCAUUGCAAUAAAAAUGACAUCGUAAUUCGUAGUUACUAAGAAGUACUAGAGUUAUCGUGGAUGAUUUCUGCGGAUCUUGAAUUGGGCAGUAAAUGAUUGGCCACAGCCUCAGACAUAAAAUGGAUGCUCCCGCACGUGAUCAAAGACACGAACAAGGAUAAAAUUCUCAAGAGUAAGCACAUCCAACCAUUUGCUUGCUUGGUGUUUGCCCGUAAGUCUGAAACUAGUUGAAAGCCAAAGAAAUAACAAUAAUGAACACUAAUAUCCUCCAAACGCUUGCUUCAAAUGCACCACCAUCAUCAUCCAUCCGAAUCCCUUUAAAACCUUCAACAACAGCCACAACAAAUACUUACCGUGGGCGACCAAUCAGACUCAAACCCAUCAGCAGCACCAGCGGCAGUAGCAGCAACGAUGCUCCACAGCCAGUUCCUCCACCUAUAACGCCGCCGGACACGGUGGAAAUACGGUUUCGUCGAGGCUCAAGAAGGCAAAGACAGCGGAGAGAGGGCCGUGGGAGAGAAAAACAACCCUUGGAGACGCAAGCUUCAGCAACUCCCAAGAAGUGGGAGGAUAUGAGUCUGAGUGAAAAGGCAAUGGAUCUUUACAUGGGUGAGAAGGGUUUGCUCUUCUGGCUCAACAAGUUUGCUUACGCCUCCAUUUUCAUCACGAUAGGAGCUUGGAUACUGUUUCGAUUUGUAGGGCCUUCACUUAAUCUUUACCAGUUGGAUGCUGCUCCUCUCUCGCCUUCCAACAUGUUCAAAGGUUCAUGAAUCAUGAUUUGAUAGUGUGCCUUAGUUCUCUAAUUCUAACUCUUCCCCUUGUAGAAACACUUUUGAAUCAUCUAGAAUAUAAAUUAUAAAGCGUUUUUACCUUUAUUAUUGGUAUAGUCCGUCUGAUUUCAAGAAUACUCGGACAAGAAACAUCCUGUAUUAUUUGCUAUCAACACAAGAAGUGAAUACAAAUCUAACUUUGGCAAUUCAAGAAACUUGAAAACAACAAUGUAGUAGAGAGUAGAGACAUAACAAGCCUUGAAAAUGAAAUGGUACUCACAUAACUCAUAUCCACACUCUUAAUUAGAAUGGAAGUUAUUUUCUAAAGUGACCAACCUAGGGUAAUGAAACAGGUGUACAACAGUCUUUCAUGUUUUUGGCCAGCAUGCUACAAUGACUACCAGCAAAACCACAACAAUCUAACGCCUCUGCGGCUUUGUAACUACGCCGCACUGACUGGCUGAACCACUGUUUCUUUUUUAGUCUUGCACCUGCAUAAGAAAAUCUUCAAAAAGUCAGACCAACUUAAUGAUGCAUAUGCUUUUAAUUCCAUAAAAGAACCGGUACAGAUUAGUUAAGAUCAAAGCCGCCAAACGGAGAAGACAGGGGAUUCAGGUAAGGGGAAAAGAAGAAUUUAACCAUAAGGGACUUUAGACAGAAGAGCAAGUCAAAAAAGUACGGAGAAACAGAUCACAAUUGCAUUGAACUGAAAAUGUUGAACAGAUAAAAUAAGGAACAAGAUCAGCUGAGAUAGAUUCAAAUGGAGCCAACACAGAUUUUAAAUGAUCCAAGCUUCACAAAUUUCCCAAGGAAGAAGCAUGUAUUUCUGACAAUUGAUGAGGUUUAAAUUCAAUCCCAAAUACUAACCUAUUACACUCUGAACGGGAUGCAUAAUUAUGAUUGUUGCAAUUUGAGCACAUCCAGUCUCCAUUACGCCAUUGCUUCGCUCUGCCAUGUGAAAACACACUUACUUAGAAUAUCAUCAGAAAGAAUUUGUGAAAACCCUUUUGUAAUAGAAAUAUCAAAAACAGAAAAGCCUCUAUUAUCACAAUACAGUUACUGAACAUAUAUAUGUGAAAUGUAAAAUUAAUUCAACAGAUACCUAAAGUCCCUAUUAUUUUUCAUCACAUACAUGCCACCAAAAAACCAUCAUCUCUUGAAAUUUUAUUCAGCAUGCCGAAUUCAAAUUGUAUACAGAGGUAAUAAUUGUUAAAUGCAACCCCAACAGUAAAAUACCACUAUCAAAUCAAUAGAUUUUACUUUCUUCAUUUACAAAUCGAUUAUCUGUUUUGACUACAACAAGCUUCCAAAAAACAGACAAACUAAAAAGAAAAAAUGAAAAAUGGAGAAACACCUGAUCAUCUUAAUUAACAAAAAGGGAAAAAAAUGUAGUUUGGGCCCUGUAUGGUAUUGUGGUUUAAGCUACAGCAAUAAAGUAUUUGGUAAACACUUGCUGCAGAGAUUGGAAGCUGAGUUGAAUUUAUCCCACACUCAUAUGAUGAAAAACCUACAAUAUCUUUACUAAUUUUUAUCAAAGCUAUUAUUUUAAAAAUUAUACAACUACACACUAUCAACUUUUAUUCCAUAACUAUAGCUUUUUUUUUUCCACAUAACUUGUGACUGUUAAGCCACAACACUUUAAUACCAAAUAAGGUCUUAUUAUCUUAAAAGAAAAUGAAUUUUUUUUAAAAGAAAAAUGAGAUGCAUAAUAAUAAUUUACCCUUUUCCAACAAGAGAAGGCACUGUUGGUUGGUAUGGAAAUUGCAUAGAUGCUUGCCAACUUGGAACCGCACCUGAGCUUACACCUGCGUAUGGAGCAUAUACUCCCAUUUUCAUGUCAACUGCAGAUCCUAACACUUGCCCAACUCCUGGAUACAUCUUCUGCUGUCCAUUUGUCUGUACAUUCAUCCAUAAAAAAUGAACAGGGGAGAGGAGAGGUUGAAAGUUUUUUUUAACCAUGCUACAUUGGUUAGUAUAAUCUAAAAUGCCAAACCAGAAAAUGGUUACUCACAUAUCCUGAAUUCAAUCUCUUGUUAUCCCAGUCAUGAACAAACUCCUCUGAAGCCAAACGCUUUGUUCCAAGUGUUGUAUACCCUAAAGAGAAUGACCAUGAGAAAGUAAACAUAAGAAAUAGCAGAUCACUCUAGAUGGCCAUCAGAAUAAGAAUACAAAGACGAAGAGAGCAUGCAUGGUGGUCAUUAUAAAGGAGAUGAGUUUAUGAAUAACAUCAGGUCAAGUAUAAAACUAAUAAAGGAAAACGGGAUGGGGAAGAGAAAAGAAGAGAGGAAUUCUAAAUGCCAUUAAACUUUAGCAGAAAAAUUUGUGUAAUGCCAGACACAUAUAAUCUGUCACAGAUACAAGUAUCCCACUUCAGAAUAUAGGGGAUCAUGCUGAAAGCAGACUGCAAAGGCAAACAACAAACAAUCAUAUUAACUACAUUUUCAGAUCGUCCAAGUAAAAGGAUGGUGUCAAAGAAGAAAUCAGGAGCAUUAAAAAAUAUUUUACUAUAAAAUGAUAAAAAACUAAGUUACACAAUAAAUGAGAGGUGUUUUGCAAUGUGCAUAUCUAAACCCAUCUUGGCGAUGUCACAUGUCCUCAAUAAGGCCUAACAUCAAUCAGAAAACAUGCAUCUUGGCAAAUAUCAGAAACAUUAAUUGACACAUAUCACCAAUAUUUUCUAACCCAAAAACACAGCUAAUUUACAUCCAAGGUGCAAAAACUAGAGAAGUAUUUAUUAGUUUGGCUAGGAAUGAGAGUGUACCUGGGGGUAUAGAAGCAUUGCAUUUCUUGCACUGAAUUGAAACAAAUCAGGAUCAAAUACAGAAUGUGAUAUGACAAUUUUCUUGUCAACAGCAAAAGAAUAAUUAAAUAGGGCCAGUAUUAUCAUACCUGUGCACGUGAAGAGUAGUUAUGGAAACCACAGUUGCAUAUCCAGUCACCAUUGCGCCAUUCUUUCAUAACAGGAGGCGCUUGAUUACUAGGGUUCUCAUAUGGAACUCCAGAACUAUGGUUUCCAGCAAAAGGCCAAGAAGCAGCAGAGUUAACUCCAAACUUCUCAUUCCCUCCCAAUGACCAGCUGGAGCUCAAAGGAAGCUGUUGGAGAGCACCAUUGCUUCCUAUACCAAUGUUCAUCCUUUGUUCCAGUCCUCCAGGGGCCCUAUCAAAAUAAUGUGAAUAAGUUGGUACAGAAGCUCCAGGCAUUGCAAUUGCUGGCAUAGCUGCUAUCUCCUUUGGUUGUCCGCACUUUUUGCACUUUUCUCUUGAUGCAUAAUUGUUGUUAGUGCAACCUAUUGAUCCAUUGCCACACAAACCCAACCCAAAUGCAGCCACGAGGAAAGGAAGCCAAUUAUACGCACACCAACCAGCCCAUCCCACACCAAAUAUACACAUACAAAAAACAUAAACAACUCAACCUAAUUGAUAGCAAGCUCCUGAAACUCGCUUGACAAAAUAAAAUAGAAAUUAAAGAAGCAAUUCAUCUUGCCCAACACAGUAUAAGAAUUGAACAAUAAAGAACUGCAAAAGCAUCAACAUUUGGCGUGGAAGUUCACAAAAUAGCAGAUCAAUAGCAAGUCUUCAAAUCAAAAGUAGGUGAUCUAGCACCUUGAAAAUUAACAAUGUGAGUCUGAAACCACUUCAUUCAUCCAUGCCAGACUAAGAAUUCCUUAAUCUAUAGCAUGUUUAGUAUAUGAUUAUGUAUUGUAAAACCAUUCUCCUAUUCCUGUCGAACCUCAUUUUGCAUGAGGUUUUAUGAAACAAACUAAGAAUUAAAUACCCAAGGCUAUUUGUUAGCCUAUAAAGCAAGCGUUCAGCUUGGAAAACAAUAAAACCCUGUUGUUACUAAAGUGACAAAAUGUAAAAAGCAGAGGAAAAUAAUACUAUCCUGUUCCAAAAUGGUAUAGCCAAACAUACCCCAGACUCAAAUGUCCGAUACAAUGCAAAUCUAAAAUUAAAAUUUCCUUUUCAUUUUCUUUCUCACUUUGUCGAACAAAAAAGUGAAACUGAUUACAGAGAACAAACACUAGAAGCAAGUGGACAAUUUCAACUGAUUUCAAGCUGCAAUUCGUUGCGACGUAUUACCUAAACACGUGUUCUCUUUCAAGCUAAAAUUGUCAGUAUGUUACAAGCAAACCUAACGUUACCUAUCAUUCAGCUCUAAACACCUUGUUUAUAAAACAUGAAACUCUUCGCUACAACUCCUAAACCCUCAAUCCCAUCAACAAAAUAGCGAAAUGUAUUCCAUCCACAAAUCAAAAUCAUUUCCGUAAACAGUAAAAACUAGCAAAUCCGGAACUAAUAAUCUGAAUAAAUAUGGAAAGCGAGAGAGAGACAGAAAGUAAAGAGAUGGAUACCGGAGCAAAUCCAAUCGCCAAUCCGAGGAAGCCACUUCGAGUCAGCAGGGGUUUUGGUGUCGACUAAAAGACGGGGCUGUUUGCACCUGUUGCAAAAAGAUCUAAACGCGUAGUUUCGAUUCUUACACCCAUUGCACUCCCAAUCUCCUUCUCUCCCUUCUCCCAUUCGUCUUCUCCGUCAAAAGUCAAAAGAGCUCAGGCAGUCAAUGCCCUGAUCUUUAUAUUUAUAGCUGCACAGUCCAGGUGGAAUUUAGAGACAAUCAGGCCAAUAGUAUGAGGUGUGUUGUUGUUGUAAUGUAGUUUUCGAGUUUCAGACAAUUGAGUAUUGACAACAAUGGUGUCUCGAUACCAGGGUCGCGGGAUUUCAAGGGAGAUACGUUUACCGCGGAUCAUCAAACAUCAAUCACACUUCUACGACUACGAUACAUAAUUUAUGCUCGAGUUCAUAUGGGCUCCUUUAGCAACUCCGGUCUCCCGCUUCAAUCAACUUCAACCCACACCUUUAAUUAUUUCUUCGGCCCAGAUACCACCAUUCUACUAAAUACCCCGUAAAAGGUAGGCCAUCACUUUUUUAUGUCGGUCCAAAGCAACUAACAUUUGAAUUAGAGUUAUUUAAUUUUUACCACUUAAUUCAUCGUGAAAUAACAAUUAGGUGUGACACGUGUUGUACCAUUAUAUUUUACCCAAAAAAAUUAUAAAAUAUUAUUUUUUUCCCGUUAGAUGACCUAUAGAUUAUUAAUUUUUUCCUUACUUUAAUAGAAAAAUACACAUAAAUGCUAAUAAAACGUAAAAAUUUUCACGACUGUCUUGAAAGCCCAAAAAUUUAAAUAAAAGCGUAUAUUUACACAAAGAACCUGUAACAUAAGGUGUCUCUAAUGCAUUUAUUACAAUAUUUUUUCAUCAAAUUAAAUAUUAAUUAUUAAUUAUUGAUAAAAAUUAACAAACAAAUAUAAUUAACAAACAAACAUGGACACAAACACUUGCAUGCUUAUGCACAUACAUACAUACAAUUAUACAAACAAUCACAGACAUUUCAAGUAUUGAAUAAUAAAAUUUUAUAUUUAAUUGAUAACAUACAUAUUUUUAAUUUUUAAUUUUGUCGGUAAUUAAUAAUUAAAAAUUAAAACUAAUUAAGUAUUUAAUUGAAUAAAAAAAUUAUUUAUUAUAAUGAUUUAUAUUUAAUUCAUAAUUCAUAAUUUUUUCCUCGGAAUGAGUGCAAAAUUGGUAGGUUAUAUGUUGACUAACGGACAACUAAUAAAAAAAGUAGUAAAAUAUAAGAUUUUGUACUUUUUAGUAGUAAAAUGUUACGUUGCAAUAUUUGUUUGCACUUAAUUGUUAUUUCACAAUAACUUGAGUAGUAAAAGGAAAAUUACACUUCGAGUUAUAAUAUUUUCUAUCAUCCGACUGAAUAAAUACAUACAAGAUGUGUAUACUUCUUAGAUUAGAGAAUGAGAAUGAGGAAUUGAUACUAUGUUUUUGUUUACUUCGAAAAAAUCAAUUGUGGAAUGAGAAUGAGAGUUAUGGUUCCUAGUAAAUUUAGAAAUAAGGAAUGAGACUUCUAUUUUCAGAGGAAUGUGUAAAUAAAAAUGGGGGAUAAGAAUGAGGAAUAAAUAGAUAUUUUUAUCAUUUAAGAAAUUUAAAUACCAUUUAAAUUUUAAAUGUUAAAUAAUAUAUAUAUAAUAUUACGUCUAAUGUUAUAAUAAACAUGCAUAUACUUCCCUAAAAAAUACUUAGUUAUUUGUUUAAGGGUAUUAUGAUAACUUAUAACAAAUUAUUCCAAUUACAAUACAAAAUAAACAAAUUAUAGGAAUAUAAUUCAUUCUAAUUUUGAUUCAUAUAACUCAAGCACACAAUUUAUUCUAAUUCUCAUUCCUCAUUCAAUUCAAACUCAUUUUGAUUCAUGCCCAUUCUUAUUUAUGAGAAAUAAACGCACCAACAAUAGAGAGUUAAAUUCCCAAAGCAAUAAACCUUAUGUAAGUACAUAUAUUACAAGUGUCCAAUCACAUCUAUUUCUCAUAUAUUGUGACUAGCAUAAAUUAUUAUAAUUGUGUUAUGAUUUAUGGAAUUAGUACGUGAUUAAUGUCAAUUAUUCAGGAGUAAAGUUGGUAGACUCUUUUAUUAUGUGAUUAAAUGUUAUAUUAAUAAGUCUAAUUUUGUUAUAACUUAAAUUGUGUUAUUUUAACUUAUAAUAAAAUAUACAAUUUUAUAUCAACACAUGAGAAGCCUGUAUACUCAUCCAAGUAUUUAAAUAACUAUGGCACAAUGAGAUUUAUGGUUCACUUAUUUUUUGAUACUUGACCAAGGGUAUAUCAUAACUAUUAAAUUGUUAUUAUACGAUUAAUGGAUGAAUGUGUUGGAUACAAAUUGGCAUCUUUAGCUUCAAUCGGAAUGUUUUGGUAACUUUGAAGAUGGGCAUUAAGUAAAUUAAAAGUCUUAUCUUAAAUAUUUAUCUACUAAUCAAGAAAAGUAGAAAGCAUGAAAUAAAAAAAGAAACACCAGCAGCUUUCUUUACGCCCUUUGUUUGGUUUCCUCACUUCUUCUUCAUCGGGACGGCGUGCCGACACAUUAUCUGGUGUAGUCGAGCCCAUCGAACUCAUCUUCCCUCUUGAAAUCAGAAGGUACCUUCGCGCGAUCAUCAUUCAUCCAAAUCCUUCUUGUUAUGUGCUUGAUUGAACUCAAUUUUGUUCUCAUUUGAUGUACGUAUGUUUACUAUUUUCUGCUUUUUUUUUUUUUGGGCGAAUCGUCAGCCUUAAUUUUGUACUUUUCUUUAGUCUAGGGUUUGUUUAAUGAUCAUUCUACAUUUCAUCACAAUUUAGUUAAUUAAAUUAGGGUUUUGGUAGUUCAGAUCGUUGAAUUGAGCUUUCAAGUGUGUAAACUUUUAUUUAUCUUGUAAAUUAGUAGACUUUUGACAUUGUUGUUAACAAGAAAUCAAAAAUUUGAAUUUUUUUUUUUUUUUCGUUUUCUUUUGAUCUCAUAUAAGUGAUCAUAAUCGCAAGCCUUUGGAUAUCUCAUGAUACUGAAAAUGUGUUCUAUUUAUCCAAAUCCCAUUUAUUCAGCUGGUAUUAGUGUAUUUUUUAUGCUUACAUAUCCAUUUUUUAACUCGUAAGUGCAUCUUGGUUCUGAUUUGUGGUUUUUAAUGUUCAGUGAUAGUGUGGCUGGAAUCAAAUAAUGGAAUAUUUGAAGACUGGAAAUUGGAAGUUCUUACACUUUUUCCAGAGUUUCAAUGAUUAUACCUUUUGAUAUUUAGGAAUCUAGGUGGACAGUGCAUAGAAUACAUAGAUUGAAAUGUUGGAAAAAUGUUAAAGUAUGGAUUGAGAUACAAUCCUGAUUUUAUAAUCUUAUCAUGCUUAUCAACUUGGUGGAGUUCGCAAAUAUCAACUGCAUGUAGAUUUUUUUGAAUAUACAGUGGGUUAAUUUUUGUGCAGGCGUUUCUCAAAAUUGUUAUGUAUAAUCAUUUUAUUACUGUUUGCAAAGAUAAUUGAGUAUUGAUUGGGAACAAAUUUGUUAAUUUAGUGUUUAGACCACUCAUAUAUAUGUUUGUAUCAUGUAGGAUAGGGAAUGGCAGCUGAGGAAGAUGUUGAUUUGUCUAGUUUGAAGUCUCAGAUAAUUGAAACUCAUGAAAUUUGGAAGCAAGAGAUGGAACGAAGCCAAUUCCAAGUGGAUGUAUUGCAGGAAAAGCUUAUGGAGGUAAAAACUUGUAUAAAGGAUUCUGAAGAAGAUGCAAAGAAGGAACUAGAAGUUCUUUGGCGAAGAGUGAAAACUACAGCAACAUUAUUAACUUACUUGAAAUCAAAAGCUAGAAUAAUGGCUGUUCCUGACUUAGCCCAUACAUCAUGUGGCAUCAGACAGUUAGAAGGAGUUGGCCUUGUUGACAAGAAUGGCACACCUUUGUCUGGUUGGUCUAGGAAUGUUGACCUGUCUUCAUUUAAUGGUUCUGACGAAGAUACAUGGAUUGGAAUUAGUAAGCAGCUAGGGUCUUCAGAUGAACAAGAUGGAGCUUAUAUAGGUGAAUUACUCAAAUCUGUGCAGAUGGUUACAGAUGUAAUGGAAGCUCUUGUUAAGAGGGUUAUAAUGGCAGAGUCUGAAACUGCUGUUGAGAAAGAGAAGGUAACUUUAGGGCAGGAAGAAAUCAGGAAGAAGGCAAAUCAAAUUGAGAAUAUGUCUUUAAAGUUGGAGGAGAUGGAGCGCUUUGCUUUAGGUACGAAUGGUAUUCUGAAUGAAAUGAGGCAGAGGGUUGAGGAUUUGGUUGAAGAGACAUCUAGACAGAGGCAGCGAGCUGCAGAAAAUGAACAGGAGCUUUGUCGUGUGAAGCGGGAUUUUGAAUCUCUGAAAAACUAUGUUAGCAGUCUUAUCAGUGUGAGAGAAACACUUCUUUCAUCAGAGAAGCAAUUUCAAACAAUUGAGAGGCUCUUUGAACGGUCAGUAUGCGUUGAAAUACUUGACUAUACUUCAUUUUAUUGUUGAGUGUUUGUCAGUAUUGUCAAGCAUCAUCUGUAGUAAUGCUCCAUUGAUUUGACGACAGGCCAUCAGCUGAUCCUUUUUGCUAAGAAGAAUCUUGCAUGCUUUAAUUCCCCUUGGAGUCCCCUCCCCACCUUGCCUUGGAAAUACUAUAUAGACAAAGCUUUUUUGUAUUUAACAUGAUAAUAACUUAGUGCGGAACUUAUGCUGAAACCAUUGUGAUUUGUCUGAAGGUGGCCUGGAUGUUUCCCCCUUCUUUUAUGAAACUCCUACAUGCCCCAUGUAUUCUGACACUAGUAGGCCUCUUUGUUAACCUGAGUCUGAACUCAGUCAAUAGGCUUAUGAGUCUAGCAGUUAAUUUUUGCAUACAGAGAAUCCUCUUCUAUGGAAUUCCCUCUCGCUCUUUGGCCAGUGCUAGUUGACAUCUUUUUCUCAUGUAUCAACUGAUUUUGUUCAUAUGGUAUAUUUAUCUAAUUAUGUUGGGAAGCAGGCUAGUUGCUAAAACAACACAAUUGGAGGGUGAGAAGAUGCAGAAAGAGGCAGAAGUUCAGAAACUCAUGGAAGAGAACGUGAGGUUAACUGCCCUUCUUGACAAGAAAGAGGCUCAACUUUUGGCCAUGAAUGAACAAUGCAAAGUGAUGGCCCUGAAUGCAUCAAACAUCUAAAUCUCACAGGCUUGUCUCAUUCUGCUCCCUGCUGGCAUGUAUGCCAGGUUGCUGCCCAAUUGGCAAUUGGCAAUUGCCAAGCUAACCACAGAAGCGGCAGGCUACUGAGCAAUGCUGUUUGAAGAUCUUGGAUCUCGUCUUCAAAAUGUUAUUUAUAAAGUGACCGGUCACUUGUUUUUACAUGUUGCUACUGUUGGUUUGGAAAACUGAAUCCGGAAAGUAUAAAAUCCAAAAAGUUGUGCCAUUAGAAUGAAAAUUUUGUGUGUUAAAAUCGAGAUAGCUUUAAUGUUUUAUUUUCAGUCAUGCAUCUGUGAUUUAUAUUUCUGAAAUACCCGGGUUUCUGGUUUCUGCAAACAAUCAACCCUCACUUCACUACCUCGACUGAUCAAAUUUCCUUAUUUUUUUCCCCCGGUCUGAACAUCUUUGUUAAUUUUUUGUUAUUUGUGUGUUUCUUAUCUUAUCAUACCAGUUUCUUAUCUCGUUUAAACAUUAAUCUCAGGAUUCAACAACGUCGAAUGUGGAGAUGACCAGUUCAAAACUAAAGGGGUCAACUCGAAUUUAAUGAAAAGCAAAGGUGUAGUAUUGAAUUUAACCAAACAAUAGUAAGUAGUUUUACUAUUAUAACCUUCAAAUAUAUCUUUCAAGUAAGGGUGCGUUUGAAAUUAUAUUCAGGAAAUUUAAAAGUGAUUUUAAAAAAGUAAAAUUUAAUUUUAAUGUUUAGCAAAUUUCUUUGUAAUCGCUUUUAGUAAAAUCGUUACAUCAGAUUUAAAAAAAUAUGGAACCUAACAUUAGAUUUAAAAAAGUAUGGAGCAUGUUUUAAAAUUUAAUUUUAAGAAUAAGUUUUAUACUUAAUACAAUUUUAUAUACAUCCUUAUAUAUAUUAUGAAAAUCUCAAAUUAUCGUUGUUAAUUAAAAAAAUAAAAUAAUUAACUUUAAAGAAAUUAUUAUUACUAUUAAUCAUAUUGAGAUAAUAAAAAUAAAUUAAUAAUAUGAAAUAUUCACUUUAAUUGUCAAUGAUUAUAUAUACACAAUAAAAAAAUAUUAUAUAUAUAUAUAUAUAUUUAUAAAUAUAUAAAUAAAUUUUAUUUAAUUUAUAGUGCAAAAUUUUUUUAUUAAUUUUAUUUGUAAUUAAUUAUUUUUAUAACACAAUUAAUAAUAAUUAUUUUAAAAAUUACAAUAAUUUAAUUUAAGUUAAAAAAAAAAAGUCAAUAAUACAAAUUAUUAUACCCUAAAUCCUUAAAUCCUAAACCCCAAAUACCUCGUUGUCCUCGAAAAACAAAAAUUUACAAAAUAUUCAAAUGUGUCCGAUUUCAGAAUAGAUUACAACAGGAAACAGCUGAGAUUCUGAAAGAAUGGAAGGCGAAAUCGAGCCGGUCGAUUGUGCUUCUGCCUCAAAGCCACCUCGUAUCGAAAUCCCCAAAGUUCCUGAUGAUAGCGAGAAGCCGGUACUCUGUAAACCCUAAUUUUGAGCUCACUCUUACUUCUUUCUCACUGGAGGCUCUUGUUGUGUUGUCAGUUGGCGCUUCUUUAGUUGUUUUGCACAUUAAAAUUACAAACACUAGUAUUUCAUUUUUCGAGUUUUGCAUUUUAAUUGCAUAUUAAGCUACUCGUUUUGACAGUUUGGCUUUUGUUUCUUAUUUAGAUUGCGAUCAAGAGACUUAAGGAUGUGGAAAUUUGUGUUCCAAUAGUUUACGGAACAAUGGCAUUUCAUCUUGGUCGAAAGGCUAGCGAGUAUGUGUUUUCAUCACUUGCCGUUUUUAUAUUGUUAGUGUAUAUGAGUAUAAUUUCUGCUAGCUAACGUUUACUUUGUCAUUAGGUCUCAGUCGCAUAGGUGGACUGUCUAUGUUCGUGGGGCAACAAAUGAGGAUAUUGGGGUUGUAAUUAAGCGUGUAGUGUUCCAAUUGCAUCCCAGUUUUAAUAACCCUACAAGAGUCGUUGAAUCACCUCCAUUCGAGUUACAAGAAUGUGGGUGGGGGGAAUUUGAAAUUGCUAUCUCGCUUUUCUUCCAUAGUGACGUUUGUGACAAGCCGCUGGAUUUGUGAGUAGUUUUUGCUUUGCGUUACUUUGUUGGUUUAUCUGAUAAGUUAUGUUCUUUACUGAUAUGGUGAUUCGUUCUUUUCAGGUACCACCAUCUGAAGCUAUAUCCAGAAGCUGAAUCUGGUCCGAAGUCAACCAAAAAGCCUGUUGUCAUGGAAUCCUAUAAUGAGAUUGUUUUUCCUGAGCCUGCUGAGGGUUUCUUUGCUCGUGUGCUGAAUCAUCCUGCUGUUGUUGUGCCGCGGCUGCCUGCUGGAUUUGCCCUGCCCACCCCAGGUAAAGCUUCUUGCCUUUUUCUUUUUGGGGUUUGGGUUGGGGUGGGGGGGGGGGGGUUGCAAAUUUUUGCUUGUUAGGAAAUCCAUGUGGUUAUCAUUAGUGUUUGAACUUCUGCAGUGCCAAUUGAUAGCGUGCAUGAGAAGGGGAGAGGUGAUACCAAGAAUCAUCCUCUCAGUCACUGGUUUAUGAAUUUCUCAGAGGCAGAUGAACUUUUGAAAAUUGCAUCAGCUCGCCAGCAGGUUAGAAUCUUUUUUUGUUGUUUUGAUUAGCUAAUUAACUGGGUUAAAUUGUUUAGAAGAGUUCGUGAUACAUAUAGUUGUAGUUAUAUUACUAAUUGCUAUCGAGUUUGCUAUUUUGCUUACCAAGUAGUUUGGGAAUAGUAUCACCCAUUACCUCUUACCACCAUCUAUGGCUACAGCCAGUUCUUAUAACGGCGAUUAGUUGAAGGUGGUCAUUAUAACUUGUUUUCGUUCCAUGUCUGACUGUCCUGUAUCAUCUGGGAUACAAAUUAUAAGUUCUUCCACAACCUUUCACAUGGUAAUGAGUAUGACUGUUUUAGAGAGGCCAUUUCUAAUUACAUAAACCAUUGGCCCCACUUUACUGAUACUUGCUGGCACUUCUGCUUUUAAUUACAUGAACUAUUGGCUCCACCUUUGUGGUACUUUCUGGCACAUCUGCUUUAGUUUUGGAAACCUGGAAUUUUAUUUUAUCUGAUUGCUUAUGCAAAUUGCUAGGUGCAAGCUCAUAUUAUUAAGCUGAGAAGAGAACUGAAUAUGAUGAACGGGCUGCCGCCACCACCAAACCCUGCAUCUGGGCAUGAUUAUGCAUGAUCAUGGUAGAAUAUGUUUGGGUUUUGUUAGCAAGUGUAAAAUGUGGAAGAUUGGUGAUGUUAGAUGUAAACAAGUAGAUUAAUCCUAGUUCAAAUGACCUUUUUACAUUUAUCUUAUUGUAUUAUAAAUGUAUAUUUUCUGUAAGAGGCAAGUGACUCAAGUAUAGCAGUGUAACAACAAUGGAUUAUUGUGAAGUAGUUUGCUAACUCCCGCCCGGGGGGGGGGGGGGGGUGGGGGCGUGGUGGGUGGGCAGUGGGGGACUAUGGAUUUUGUAUUUGGUCUGAUUGUGUAAAUUUAAAGAAAGCUUGAGGCGAGGCAGUUAGUUGAUUUUUUUGUCUGUUUUGUGCAGAGAGAGAGAGAGAGAGAGAGAGAGAAUGCUAUUGUUUGAUGUUGCAGCUGCUAGUUGCUUGGUAAUGCACUUUUGUCCUAGUUCAUGUUUUCUGAAGUUGAUUGAAAGUGCAACAUUGCUUAGAUUUAGUUAUGGGACGCCAACUUGCUUAUGCUAAAUUCCUUUUAUAGUUAGUGCUUGUUUGUUAUGCCUUAUCUAAUGGCUAUAAGUACUUAUCUCAUAAGCUCUUUUUGAAAUUUUUGUUGUUGAUUAGGCUCCAUUUGGUAUAACAUUUGAAAUAGAGUUCAUUUAAGUAGAUCUUGUGUUAGUAGAACUUUUACCAAAAUGAUUUUAGUUAUUUAGUUGUCAAUAAGAAUUUUUAUCAAAAACGAUAAAAUUAUUUUAAUAGAAAAGUUGUUUAAAGUUAUGUCGUGAAAAAGAUGAAAUAAAAUUGUUAAAUAUGUAUAGAUUGAUUGUCUGUGGAGAUAAAAGAACUUAUUUAAUCGUUAAAGUUUUACUUAAAAAAUAACUAAACAACCAAAAAAAAAAUAUUAAAAAGAGCUUAUGAGAUUGAAUAAGUAAACAUGCACUUAGUUGUUCCUUGAGUAAAGUUUUUGGGGUUUAAAUAAAUUAUUUUAUCUCUAUUAAUAAAAUUUUAAAUUUUGUACUUUUGGGAGUAGAGGUUUUAGAGUUUUUUUUUUUUUAAGUUUAACUAUUUAAGACGUCUAUUAUUUAUUUUACAUUCUUAUUUCAUUCUUUUUAUAAUAUAAUUUUAAAAAUUAUUUAUUAAAGUAAUUUUACAACGUUUAAUAAAAACUCUCAUUGUAACCAAACGAUAAAAUUUUUUUGGUAAAAAUUUUAUUCAAAUAAAUUAUGGUUGAAAAGUUCUUUCAAACGGAGCCUCAACAUUUCUUUCACGCGUAUACUUCUUUAUUCUUCAACUUGUGUGAUCGUUGUCUAUGUUUAUUCUCCUGUUGGUUUUUAUUUAUCUAGGACAAGUCUUAGGAGUAGGACUUGUGUUAUCUUUAUUUAAUCCUACAAAUAACUUUCAUUUAAAUUAUGUAUAGGUUGAUUGCCACCAAAGGGAUAGUAUGCAUAAUAACAGGCCUGUCUUGCUAGAAUUGAUUUACAAUAAGAGAUGUUCUUGAAACAAUAAGACAAAAGUUGAUUGAAUGGUUAAAUCUGUAAGCUGAACUCAGGUGCUUGGGCAAUACUGAUCAUUUUCGGCUUUACAAGUUUGUUCUAUUUGGAUGUUUUGACGACACAAGUAACAUGGGCUUCACAUGUUCAUAAUCGUGCAACGGUCGCCAUCUACCGGCCCAUUAUAACGGACCCAUUAUUAUGGUCCUGAGAGAAAAAGACGAAGAGAUUAAACAAGGGAAAUCGUUGUUAGCUUUGCCUCUUGAUUGACAACGAUUGGCUAUCCUCUCGCUUUAUCUUUCACAUGCCUACUUAUUGUUCAGUCCCAGAACAUGAGCAACCGCCAUUGCCCAUAGUCUUUCCUAUACUCUCUAUCGGCACAAACGUGGCAUCCAUGUCCAAGAAUUUUGAUUGAGUUGGGUUUUUGGUAGCAAGCGAUAAUCAAGAUUCUUACCCUCGGACACUCAUAGUUGCCCUUGAAAGUAUCGAAGAUUGAAGGUUAAUUUUAUCAAGCCAUAAAGAAAGACAAAAAGGUAAAAGUUGAACCUUUUGAAAAAUAAUAAUAAAAACAAAAAUCAAAUUAAGGAUGUUGAUUAAAGAUAUAUAGGGUGCGUUUGGUAUUGAAGUUGGACAGUUGUAAUUUUUUAAAUUACAGUAUUGAAGUGUUUGGUAAACACUAGUUACUGAAACUUGAAAACUAUAUUGAUUUGAUUUUUCAUUUAUAUAAUAAAAAAAUUAGUAUAUGUUUAAUAAUUUUGUCAAAAUUAUUAUUUAAAAUUUAUAUUCACUACAUAUUAUUAAUUUUUAUUUAAUAAUUAUAAUUUUUUUCCACAACAACUGUAAUUUAAAAGAUACAUUAUUUCAAUUCCAAAUAAGACUGCAGUAAACUGAAAAUAUCGGAGGUAUCCAAAAAGACAGUAAUAUGAAAAUAUGGGUCUAGAAGAUAUAUUGAAUGACCUCGGGGGGGAAUUCGGCUUAAAAGUGAGAAAAGAAUGACGCUACUUGCGGGCCCAAUUAGUGUCUGCUUACUUCUCUUUUCUCUCUCAUAAUCUCUGGAUUAUUUAGCUUUCUGGAUUAGGUUUUGAUUUGGACCACUGGGCCAGUCAUCAUGAAACGAGCUUUAGUCUGUUCAUCCACGCGUCCCAAACGUAAUUAAAAUAAUAAUAAUAAUAAUAAUAAUAAUAAAGACGUGUGCCCUAAGUUGGCUGGAAUUUGAACUUGAAAUACACUUUCGGCUUUUCGUUAAACAUAUUUCUGAGACUAUAGGUUUGUCUUGCCUCACAUUGACCUUGUUCAUCACGGAGAAUAUGUUACAGAGUUUCCAUAAUAAAUGCUUUCACUGAAAGAGCUUUUAACAAAAGUCUCUUGGUUUAGCUUUACGAAUAGACACUUACAAGCAACUAUUACAAAAAAGAAAGACUUUGCAGAAGAAAAAGUUAAAACGACUCUCAAAGUAUGUUUGCAAAUAAAAUUUUUUUUUUUUCAAUUACAUUGCACACCUUAAUCCCACCUCAUUCUCGGAUUAAAUCUAUCCCCCUAAACUUGAAUUUGAGGCCUGUUGUUUCCACUGCACGAGUUAAGUCAAUAGACUAUGACUAUGCAUGAAAUUAUUAAUUAAAAUGAAACACGCAAUUGCAAAUAUACAUACAGUGGGACAGAUUAAUAUAAGCCAAAAAGGGAAAGAUGAAUAAAUAAAAUGAUAAUGUAAGAGGAGGGGGGCAAGGAAGAAAGUGAAAGACUCAGAAACGUGCAAGCAUAAUUACGGUGACAGGUUUUAUGUUCCCCUAAAAAGGCACAGCGAUUCGGUGGGCCUAAUGCCUGUCGGCUAGUUGACCAGAUGACUAAUUGCUAACCGGAAGAAGGGCUCGUAACUCAUUUAAGACAGCGUAAGUUAAGCCCAGCCAAGUCUAGAAGAUAAGCCGAAACGACGAAGCGUAUAAUUACACUAGUAGUACGAGACAAAAGUUUGGCCUUGGUCGCUAACUCGUUAUGAUGCUAUGGGUCGAUUUGGUACAGUUUUUUUGUUUUUAGUAGAAUUUUAAAAAUAGAGUUUUCGAUAAAAAAAAAAUUGUUUGGGUAUUUGACUGUUAAUUAAAGAAGUAUUUUUGAGCCACCAAACUGUUUGGUUCCAUAAUAUUAAAAGUAUUUUUGUAAAGUUAAAUUAUUGAAAAAAAUAACUAAAAAAACUUACUUUAAAUCAUAAAUUUAGAUAAAUCACGAUAUUUAUUAUUUAAUAUACUCACUUUACACAAAGAUUUAAAAUAAACUUCAAUUAAAUUUUAAAUAAAUCUCAUAAUUCAAAUAUGCAGUAAUAAACUUUAUCAAUAUGCACCAAAACUAUCAACUAAAAAGUUUAAAAUAAACUUCAAAAAUCAAAACAAAAUCUUGCAAAAUGAAUAAACAACAAACAAAUAAAAUAAAUAAAAUAAAUAAUUCACAUAAUACAUAUACUAAUUUGUGUGGACCACAUGAGCAUAUGAAUAUAUUAAACAAUAGUAAAAUAAGUGAAUAAAGUGAAAAGGUAGUUGAAAAAUGGCUGUAAAGUGAGGAGAAUAAAUAAUUUAUUUGAUAAAAGAAAGUAUUAGAGACAAAUCGUGAUUGCUGCUGCUUGACAAAAUGUGGCGCCAAGCGGAGAAAUCUUUAUUGUAUAUACAAUAGGGUUUUUUGAAAUUAGUGAAAUAUUGUUAGAGUUUUUUUCGAGAUUCUAUAUGUUUUCAAAAAUCUCAAAAAGCUCUAUUUGGAGAAGCCUAAAUUUUGAGCUUCUUCAAGUAUAAGCAAAAUAGUUUUUUUAAGAGUAAUGAUACAGCCACAAACUCUUGUACAAACUUAUUUUGUACAAAUUGAUGUGGCAUGAUAAGAUUAGUUGAAUUAAAUAUUACUUGGCCCACAUGAUUUGUUUUUAUUAAUUUAUAUUUUCAUUCAACCAAUGAAUUAAUGCCACGUCAGUUUGUACAAAAUAAGUUUGUACAAGAGUUUGUGGCUGUAUCAUUACUCUUUUUUUAAAUCCAAAAACUCUAUUACAAAUGAAACCAAACAACUUAAUAUUUUUUCAAAAGAGUUUUUGGGUUAAAAAAAGCUUUUUGGAUAAUAGAAAAGCCUAACCAAACUAGGGAUGGCAAAAUCCGCCACGGGUUUGGGGCCCCAUGGAGCCCCACCCCAAAUGGGGAAAAUUUUGAAUAAUUUUUGGGGAAUGGGGUGGGGAGUGGGGGGAAAAUAAUCCCCAAAUUCUUAAUGGGGUGGGGUUUGGUUUUGUACUCCCCACCCCACCCCCACCCCAAUCCCCAUUAAAUAUAAAUAUGUUUUUAAUUCUUAUUUAAUAAUUUUUAUUUUAUCAAUUAUAAUGUCAAUUAAUAUUUUUUUUUAAUUUUUAUGCAAUAUAAACAAGAUAUGAAUGAAAGAAAAUCCUAUAAUAUUUUUUAACUCUGAAACAUUGUUAUAUUUUCUUUUCUCUUUUAAGGUGCUACGCUCUUUAAAUAUUUUUCACUUUUAAUAUCAUUUUAAGAUAUUGUUUCAAACUUUUAGAUAUUUUUUUAAAAGAAUUUAAAUACUUAUAAUAUGAUGAUGAUUUUAUUUUAAGUCUCUAAUUUUUAUCUUACUAAAAUAAUGUAUUUAUAUAUAUUAUAAAAUAGAUAAAUGGGGAAUGGGGUGGGGAUGGGGAAAUCAUUCUCCAUAUGGGGAUUCUCCAUCCCCACCCCACUAAAUUUAUUGGGGAAUGGGGUGGGGAAUGAAAGUAAAAAUUUCUAACGGGAUGGGGAAUGGGGUAGGCCUCCCCACCCCACCCCACCCCAUUGCCAUCCCUAAACCAAACAUACACUAUGUGUAAUUGUGCACGCGGUUCAUGAAAUUUAAAAAAAAGAAAAAAAUGUAAUAUCAUAAUUAUAAUUUUCUAUACAAAUUAAUGUGGUAUUAUAUCAUUGGUUGAAUAACCCCCUAGGGACUUGGUUAUUGAUUAUGUAAUAAUAUGUAUGAGACCCUAUUCCUCUUUCUGAUUUGUCCUAAUUUUUAUAAGGCUCGCUUGUGUAAUAUAUAUAUAUAUAUAUAUAUAUAUAUAUAUAAUACCAUCGAUUGAAUGAAAUUAUAAAAUAAUAAUAAUAAAUUAUAUAGAUUAUAUAAUAUUUUUAUUUAACAAAUUAUAUUAUAUCACGUGAAUUUAUUAAAAAAAAUAUCAUUAUUCAAAGACUAGAAAUUCAGAUAAAUUGGUGCAGCCUAAACAAAAAAUAUCUUUAAAUUUUAAGAGACCAGAAUUCUCCCACAAUGUCUGAUUUGAAAACAGGCAUUGCCAUUAUCCAAUAAUUACUAAACUUUCAUCCCAUCAGAUAAUGUUUUAUAGUCAAUCACGUGACUUCCACACAGUAUUUUAAUGUUAAUUCCCAAUACUAAUAUUUCUUACAAUAACACGUGAGUCUUGAGCAAAGCUUACUCUGUAAAAUUAUAAUUAGCAGUGAGUGUUUAAAUGAUUUUUCUUUUUCAUUUCUUUAGAGAACAAAGAAUAAUCGUUAAAAGAGUGUACCACUACCAGCGAAGUUGAAAGCUCAAGCUCUAGCACAUGAGCUUUGGCUUUUGCUACAUACGGACACGAAUAACAAGGAGAAAAUGACAAUUCUUGAGAGAAAGACACGAGCAAUAACAGAAAAUUGGAAUAUAUGCUCAGUUCCGAAUUUUUCCAGUCUCCGAAUAAUGGUUCAUUGCUAGAUACCAAAGCAAUAAACCUUUGAGGGGGAAAUACUUGCGACUAUAUAUGGAGCCCCAUGUUCCUAAGAGAAGGACACUAGUAAUUAUAGAAACUGGAAUACAUCAUGCACAGUUCCGAAUUUUUCCAGACUUAUAAUAUAUAAUUAGAAUUGGAUUCGUGAAGACGAAACUGCAUAAAACAUGAGAGGGAAAGACAGACUAGGGCCGAUUAAAUGGACCCCAAUUGUCCUUGAACAAGCCAACCAAGUAGGGCAAGCGGCAAGCCCCAUUUGAGUUCAAAAGCACCAUUUGAUCUGUGCACCGUCCCCACAUCCCACAUGUUCCUUGCUCCAAUUCACACUCAAAUCUCUCCAUAAAUACACCCUCUAAUCCUUCAAUCCUUCCCUACCAUCAUCUCUCUAGCUAGUUUUAAAUUCAGUAAUUGCUCUUCGUGAUCCCCCACCACUAUUACAAUCAAAGCAAAUUUACCUACUACAAAUAUAAUUAACCCAAUGGCUAUCCAAGAAAUUUUCAAACAAUGCUCAAGCUUUGGGAAGAAAUGCAGCUGUGAUCAAGACGGCCAUCCAAAUGAUGUGCCAAAAGGCCAUUGUGUAGUGUAUGUUGGAGAGAAUCGAAGCAGAUACAUCAUUCCAAUAACAUGGUUGAAUCACCCAAAGUUCAAGAAUUUACUUGAAAAAGCAGCAGAGGAAUAUGGGUACAAGCAUGAUCUGGGUAUCAUCCUUCCUUGUGAUGAACGUGCUUUCCGGCAGGUAACAUCUUGGAUCAUAUGAAGUGAAUACUUCUAGGGAUAUAAUUAUAACCACAAGGAUAAGCUAAUUACUAAGCCACGUUUUGUAUCGAAUAACAAAGAGAAAGCUGCAUCGGUUCAGCUGAUGCUGAUCUCGUGUGUGUGUGUGUGUGUAUAAAUAUUCUUCUAGUCCGCACGGUGGUUUUGACUAUGACUACAUUAAUUAGCAUAUAUAUAAUGUAUCUAUAUGAAGUUUUCAUCAAGUGUACUUCUUGAGAAAGCUUAGACUAAUGACAGAAAUUAAUGGGGUUACUCCCUAUUUUAGUUUAAAUCUUUCUCAUUCUGUAUUUUCCACUACUUGGAUAUAUAGAUUUCGAUAUUAAUGAUGGCUAUAAGUGCAAAUAUUAUAUUCCUUGACUUUGAAUGCUUAAGAAAUUAAGUUACAUCUUAAUGUUAAUUGAAAUUUAACCAUGUAUUGUCAUAAACACAAACUUGGCAGAAAUAAAAAAAUGAUCAACACAGCUAAUAUCAUAAACAACUUCUUCUUUAUCUAUUGAGCAAUUAUAAUAUUUUAAUAAAAGCUAAAAGUUUUAAUAUUUUAAGUUACACUUAAAAAAUCUGAAUCAAUGUCAAAGGGACUCCUAAUAUUUGCAUAAGUGAGCUUUGGGUGGAGCUGUUGGGGUGAGUAUCGUUUAUCUUUUUAUUAGGACUCAUCACUUUGUUUGUCAUGUGUGUUUGUCGAACAAAAAUAGUUUUGCAAUAGUGAAACAUGUAGAGACCUAACUGGCCAACUGUUUUAGUAAUAAACCAUUUACAAGAAGAGGUACCAAAAAAAAAAAAAAAAAAGCAGCAAAAGAUACUGAUAUCCUGGGGUUCAUUGUUAGGCUUUCUACAUUCUAAUCAUCAAUUUUAGAUUUUUUGUUCCGCGAUAUGCAUGCAGAUUAAUUUUUCAUCAACUGCAAAAAGAUAUGCAAACAAAGGAAAUCUUCGGGAAACUCUCUGUUUAUUUAACUGAAAUUUCUGUCUUUUCGGUUUCACCUGGCUUAUGUUUGUCCAGAAGAAACAGCCCUGCACCGGUGAGACCGGUAAAGAGAGAGAUUUCUUCUUACUAAUAAGACGUCUAAAAGCUAUGUUAUAACAAUUUUUUGCUCCAGUAUUGUGGGCUUAAUUACUUUUAAGUGAAAGAGGGUAAAAGAAAAAGAUACUGAGAAAGAUGGUGACAGUUCAAAGUAGUGGGUUUACUGAUGUAACACAACAGUGUCUUCACAUUUAUCUGUCAACGUACGGCAAACAUGAUUGCAUGGCUUCUACCUAUAACAGUAGCUUAACCUUAUGCUGUGCCCGUGCCACGAGCAAGCAAAAGCAAUCAGCCGUCCCGUGAAAUAGUGUACGAGAGUCUCAGUAAAUCAAUGCACAAUGUCUUCAGAUUUGAUUCUCUUGGGCGAAUACUGUUUGAGUCAGCAACAGUUUUACUCGGACAGACUCCUUGUGUCUGGAGAAUGGCGUUGUCACUUCACUAAAGUUUUUUCUUUUUUCAACAAUUUAAAAGGACCAAAGAUGGAACCCUAGUUAGGUCCAAGUAUAUGAAACACGUCUUCAAAUUGCAGAGGAGAUUCAGCAGAGGCAUCAUCUCAGUUUGUAUUUUUUUCUUUUUCUCACCGACCCACGAACUUCGAGAGCAUAUAGAGGCAUAAUUCCAAGAAUACACAUAAAUUUAUAGAACAGAGUUCAGUUCAGCUUUGAUGAUAUUACAAAGAUUGCCAUUUAAUUUUCUCAUCUUAUGGAUUUUGAUUGCGUACAAACUUUAGUCAUCACUAAGUUCUUCUAUUAAGUAAUAAUUAGAGAUCACUCAAACGCACACUUGGCACACUAGUGAAACACUAGGUACCAAUGUAGCAAAUAGGGGCGUUAUAUUUCAGAGAUAGAUAAGAUGAACUAAGAAAGGGACGUCAGCGCAUAUUUCUUAAUUUAGCAAGCACUUAAUUACCAAAAAAAAAAGAUAAGGCUCCAAAUUAAAAUGAGAAAAUUGAAAGACCCAAACCGAACGACUGAUUGAUUUUUUUGUGUGUUGGGGGGGGGGGGGUGGAAAUUGAUCAAAUUAAUUUGCAAAAUCCACGCACCCAUCCAAAUUUUUGGUCAUUUCAUUGCUACGAGCUCUAUGAGCUGAAUAAGGAACUUUGAUUUAGAGAUUGGGUUAGUUGAAAUCCCUAUCACUUGCUGCAUUUUGACGUCUGAUAAGAUGUUGGCCCGAUAUUAAAGCAGCAUGCUUUAACAAUAUUCAUUUUUUGCGAAGUUGAUGCACAUGCGAGUGGGGACUAUACUGUCAAGCUGGUAGGGUUUUUUCUGGAAGAUCUCUUCUUCUUUGUCCCCAUUAUUUUUAGAACCUUUUAGUCAGCGUGUAUAACUUGGAUGCCUAAUUCAGUUAGUUCUUGCAUACAAAUGGUUCAUGCACAUUGGUUUCUAUGUGUAUGUGGUUUGAAUCUUUUACGUAUUGAAAGAAACAUAUUUUGGAUGAAUUUUGGAUGGCCUCUCAAUUAGGCUUGGAAGAGUACCUACGUAAUCAACAAAAAAUGGCUCAAUUAGUAUUUCGCAUUCACUUAACAUAUUUAAUAUUUUUCUCCAUCGUGUAGGGUUAGGUAAUAAUUAGGUUUACACUCUGUGUGUCUCCUAUGAUUAAUCAUUUUGAUUUCUAAAAUAAUCCAUGCUUAAUUCAAUUUAAUGUAUGGAUAAUCAGUUUCACCUAUGAUGGUUGUCAAUUCCCUCACUGAUUAUACUUAUAUAACUUACCUCCCUACUAUUUUCAUAAUAUACAAUAACCUCCUAAACACUAAAAUUUUAAAGGAAAAGGAAGGUGAAUAGGUCAUUUAUUAAUAUUUGAUUUUAGAAAUUUAAAUAUAUAUUUAUUAUAAGAGACAAAUGUCUAAAAAAAAUAAAAAAAGUACAAAAAUCUUAUUAUUAAUUUUUUUAUUAACACUGAAACUUAUAUUUCUUAUUUUAGUAUUUAAAUUUUUUAUUUCAAUUUACAUAAUUAAAUAUGAAUAAAAUCAUAUUUAAAAACAAUGGCAAUACUAUAAAAUUAUAGUGUCAGGAGAUUAUUGGAAAAGGUAGGACUAUUUGGACCCAUCAAUUUUCUCUGUACACUCUCUUUCUAAUUAAGAAUUUAAUUAUCUAAAUAAUUUUUAAAAAUUUACUUAAUUAACUCUUCACAAAUUCUAAUCAAUUCAUUCAGUUAUAUUCUUUUAGCAUAAAUUGAUAUCACAAAGUAAGAGAAAUAAAACCCACUAUUUAAAAUUCAACAUCAAUAAAUUUUUAUUAGCCAUGAAAGUUAACAAAUAUCAAGAAAUUAAUUUUUACCAAACACAAAAGUUAAUGAAUAUCAAGAAAAUUUUUCUUAUAUAUAGAAAGUAUGAAAUAGAGAUCAUGAUCUACUAAGAAAGGAAAAAAAAUUCAAAAGAGAAUGAAAUUGGAUGUUUGGUUUAUAGAAUAUGAGUAUAGAGAGAAUAUAUAAUUGUAAGAUAGAGAAAGAGAUUAGUAAAAUAAGAUUUUCAGAUCUUCAAAUUUUAAAUUUUUAAAAAUGAAUUUAUUUUUAAAAAAAUGUGUGUAGAGAGGAAUUUUUGUGGAUUCAAAUAACCCCACUAUAUUGGAUAUUAUGAAAAUAAUAUGGAGUACUAAGUGAUUUAUAUUAAUUUCAGUAGAGAGAAAUUGGUGAUCUACCCCCAAACUAAUUACUUUAUUUUAUUUAACUAAGAGUGACCAGAGCUUAUUAUAUUUUCUAUUAAUCAUUUAUCAAUUGCAGACUGGAAAUCCUCAGAUCCCUCAGCUAGCAUUUACUUCAUUGUGAUUCUUUUAGAACUCCAAGUUGAGCUCUGAAAUGGAAAUGGAAUACGGAUUUCUCAAACUACUCUAAGGCAAGAUACAUAAUUCAAUUUGAUAAUUAUACGAAAUAUUGAAUCUACUUGACCUAAUAGCUUAAAGUGUUAGAUGAAGUUUUAAUAAAGGCGCUCUUAUAUUAAAAUGAAAAUUGAAAAUGUACUUGAAGAAUUAAAAUUGAACUCAAGACUUUGACUCUAGUUCUAGUAUAUAUAUAUAUAUAUAUAUAUAUAUAUAAAUCUAGCAAUGAGUCUCAAAUAAUGUGUCUAACUAAAUAGGAAAGUGAAAGAAAAUUAAAUUAAUCAAUUUCUUAAUAUCCAAUCUGCAGUAUUAUUAUUUUUUUGAUACCAGCCCCUUUCUUUGGAGCGCACCGUCUGCUUGUCUGAUGACAUUUGUGGGAAUUUCUGGCUGCUUUUCCUCUAAUAUAUAUACUACGCCAUUUAUGUAGGAUUGAUGAAUGCAAUAUCAAGGAAAUCCCAAGUGGAGGUUUGAAAAACUUUGUGGUGCGUCUACCAGAUCUAAUUUAAAUGUCGCCUCCAUCUCUCACACUUAUUACUGUUUUUAGGAUGCAGUUAAGGGUUCAACUACAAUGUACCAUAUAUAUGUAAUAUCCACCACAAUUUCUUGUUUUUGAUAGCAUAAUUUUCAAACAUUGUAUGUCGCAUACUCGCAUAUUAAAUAAAUACAUAAGUAUCAAAUAUAACGAUAAGUUUUUAUCAAUAACCCAACAAAAUAAAAAAAUGUUACCGAUAGUAAAGAAAAAUUUGACGGAUAUGUAAUAAAUGUUACAUCUUAGCGGAAGUCAAGAACUUUUUGUAGAAUGGCUACGCUAUUUUUUUUUUAAAGCCAAAAAAAUAAAAGAAAAGAAAAACUCAAAGUAAGCCCUCAAAUCAUAACACUUUUUGGGUUUGAUAAAUACCUUGUGAAUUAAGUUUAUUUAAUAAGAAAAAUUAUCAACUUCAGGGUUAAGACUAUGGUAACCACCGGCCACUGGGUACCAUACCAACAACCCGGCACUAUUAGAUAGUUGUAGUUUAUUGAUUUUUAAUAAAGUCUUAAUUAUUCCACGAUGCUCAAACUCUAGUGUAUCGUACCCUUUGGGAAUCAUAGACAAAACCAAUUUUUGUGAAAUUACAACAUUAGUAUUAUAUAGCAAAAAAAAAUAAAAUUAUGACGUGAUUAUUUGAACCCGCUAAACUACUUAUGAAACUCUACUUUUAAAAAUUAUUUUUUAUUACUAAAAUGUCUAUAACCUAAAUUACUAUUAUAGACAACUAAAUCCCUAAAUCUAUUUGUUGUACGCUCAUUUUCUUUGAUUUUUUUUUAAACUCAUCUCUUUGGGGUUUCUUUCUCAUUAACAACUGUUGUUGGAAUGAAGUCUUAAUGAUUGGAUUAGGCGAAAAGCUUUUGGCCGGUAAAGCUCCUCUUGAAUUUUGCCAAUAAAUUCUUUCCAGUCAAGUUUCUUUGGAUUAAAUGUGAAGGGUUAUUUUGCAUGGUAAUUGUCUGAUAAUUUUGAAUGGAUGGAUUGUCAUACAAUUCAUUUUGGAAUUUUUCAUGUCUACUUUAAGGAUUGAAGAGGUAUUCUGAAAAAAAUCUGCUGAGUGGCUCGACAAGUUACUUUAACUUAGGCUAAUCAAAGCAAGCAUGCCUUGUUAUUUUAUGAUACGAACAAUUAAAUUACUUUUCCGUAUAAAAACAGCCAUGUGAGAAUGAAAAAAUUUAAAGGACUUCGAUUCUUUCAGUUGCAUGAUUACAAAUACAACUUUAUUAUCAUGAAUGUUUCUUGAAUUUUCUAUAGGUUUGUAGUGGUUUACUGCAAUGCGUUCAAGACUUUAACGGAUAAACAAAAAAUUAAAGAAAUGGGAGAUUUGAGAAUUGAGAGUGAAACCUCGACAAAUACAAUGAUGGAGAGUGAUCAAUAAGGAUUUGAGAGAUCGAGGAAUAGUUGAAGAAGCCCCGAAGAUAAAAAAAAUGCUAUCAAGGGCGUAGUGGGCAUAGUGGGAUAGUGGCCUUUUCUGUAUCAAGCAUAACUUCUCGAAUCACCAACCACCUUCUUUGCACAAAUCCUUUCUCCAUCAUCCAUUAAUUCCAUCGAUUCAAAAAGAAGCCACCAUUAUAUCCGCACAUACAGCCGUCGUCACCACCUUUCUUCUUCGAGGAUCCUCAACCCCAUUAGAACGCUCACACACCGCCGACCAAACCCUAGCCGUCGGACUCUCCGAUCCAUCACCAUAGCCAGCUCAAACACUACCCAGACAGUCGCUAAACCACUGCUUGAUUUGUUGCCCUCCGCCAUAAUUCACCAGCCUUCGCCUCCACCAAAUUAUUACCCAUUUUCAACUCUCUCUUUCUAGUCCACAUAACUUCCAGCUGCUGCUUAGUUUACCGAAAACCGAAACCAAACCUCCAACUGCCACUUCACUUUAAUUUUCUGAUCAGACAGUCAUGAUUCAAGUCAAACCACCAGAACUGUCACGCUAAUCAACCUCAAGUCGUCUAGAUCCACCCAUCCUUGUCUAAUUUUCUGAUCACAGUCGCCGGCAACAAAUAUCAUCUUUUGCUUGUUUACAGUUUUACCCAAUAUUUUUUUUUAAUUACUUUAUUUCCCUUCAAUUUUUCUAUCCUUAAAAAAAACCCCAAAACCCUGAGAAAGAAAGAGGAAAUUAAGAAAAAGGAGAGAAAAAAAACAAAAAAAAGGUGGUACAAUGAGAUAUAGGAAGACAACGAUGAUCUUUUCUAUUAUGAUGGAUUUAUUAAUACUGAGGAUAUUUUUUAUUAGAUCUUCCAAAUUGAAGAUAUUGUUGAAAAUAUUCUAGAGGAUAAACAUAUGAAGUAUGUGUCCUCUGAAUUAAUGGAACAUGCAUCACAAUGGUGGAAAAACUUACAAGCAACACGAGUUUGACAUGGAAGAAAUAAGAUUCAAAUUUGGCAUACCAUAAAAAGAAGACAAAAGGUUAUUUUAAUUCCAUCAAUCAAGUAAAAUACAAAAUUUUAAAUUCUGAUGAUAAAUUUAUUAAGAAAUAAAUUUAAUAAGUAUUUUGAUAAAUUCAAAUAAUUUUAUUCAAAAAUUUGUUAAAUUUUGACUGGGUUAUAGCCCAUCUUUACUCAUGAAUAGCUUCAGCCUUGGUUGCGUCUUUCAAUUUCUUGGAACAGUUCACGACAUCAAGAAAAUAUCAGAUCUGUAUCCUUUUUUAUGUCAUGGAAAACACGUAUGAGCCGAGAAAAUAUCAUGAUUGUCUGUGUCUUGUUGUCCUCAAAAGCAGAAUUGCAGCGUGUUCCUAAAUUUGAAAGAAUUCCCGUUGAAUUUUAUUAGUAUUGCUGGUUUUUUUUCUCUUCCCUUUAUUCUAUUUGCAUGCUACCUUUAAAAAACUUGCUUCAUAAAUGGCCAUUUUUAAAGGAAUUCUGAAUGCACUGCAAAACUUUGUUAGUAGACUCGGUGGUGAACCUACAUUCAUUAGCAUUGGCCUUGUGGCCCUCCGGUGCUUUUCUAGUGCUCUUUGAUGAUCCCAAUUUGAGGUGUUGCUGACGAAUUUAAGAUUCUUUUGAUGAACAAUGGAAGCUUUAUCAUAGGCUUGAUAAGUAUUGCGUGGAUUGGUCGGCCAAAUUGUUGGAUUCAUUAAUACAAUUAUGCCUAUUUCGUUAUCUCCAGUGCUAUAUAUUAUCCAUGUUUCCCCAUUUGGGUGCCUUACAGAUUAAGAAGACUUUACCAUACAUUCAUGGACGGCAGUCAGUUUACAUUAACUCCCACUAUUGUAUCUUCACAAUUUGUCCAAAUUAUCUGAAGAUACAAAUUGUCUCCUGAAACAAACUGUCGUUCCCAAAUUAGCAAUAGUUUUAGUACUAUAUAUGGAUUCUCUUCCAUUAAUAAAUUUACUUACAUAUAUGGGGGCAUAAUGGAUUAAUGGUAGUCCCCAUUCAGCCAUUCUUUCCGCGACAAGGAAUGAGCGCAAAAUCAAUGUAAUGCUUCCCACAUUGAUUUAUCAGGAUCAUGUUAAUAUUCACAACUAAAACAUGUUAUAGACAAACAACCAUGCCAAAUGAAGAAGAAGAAAAAAUUGAACUUAUAACGACGCAAUUUUAAAGAAAUGGCAACAAUAACAUUAGACUAGUCUCAAUAAUAAACAAUUUGUGAGAAUUUGAUAUUUUGACUAGUUGGUGAACAUAUAUAUGAACAAAAAUUUAAAUAAACUGAUAGUUCAAUUACAACAAUCACCUCUUUUUUUUAGUUGGUUAGUAUAUCAUCUCCUUAUUGGGUGAAGUGAAAAAAGAAAGGAAAAAAAAAAAGAGCUUGGUGAGCUUUAGGCUCUAUAUUAGAAUACAAAUUUUAAUUGAAAAUGUGACUACUAAUAUAUCUCUAAAUCUCUUUGCUAAGACUCUACUUCAAAUUCAAUCUAUUAACUAGCAUGAAGUAAUGGUUUGUUUACUUUUUGGAUUAGGAAAUGAGAAUGAUUCUCAUUCCUCAUUAAUAUAAAGGAAUGGGAAUGCAUUUUUGGUGAAGCUCGUAAAUUUGAGAAUGAUAAAUAUAAAUCUCAUUCCCACAUAGAAGGUGGGAAUAAAAGUGGGGAAUGAAUUGAUAUUUUUACUCUUAAAUAAAAUAAAAUAAUUCUUUUUUUCACCACAUUUAAAUAUUAAAUAAUUAGUAUAAUUCUAAUUCUAAUUCUAAUAAUUAUAAUACUAGUAAUAAUAAAAAACUAUUAUUAUUAUUAUUAUUAUUAUUAUUAUUAGUAGUAGUAGUUAGUAGUAGUAAAUAAUAAUAAUAAUAAUAAUAAUAAUAAUAAUAAUAAUAAUAAUAAUAAUAAUAAUAAUAAUAAUAAUAAUAAUAAUAAUAAUUGUCAUAAUAAUAGUAAUGUUAAUAAUAUUUAUAGUAAAAAUAUUUACUCUUUAUUUUGCUAGUGAACAAAUAACUAAGGGCAUUUUAAUAGCUUUAACAAUUCAUUCUAAAUUAUAAGAUAAAGCAAACAUAUUAAUGAGAAUAUAUAUCAUUUCGAUUCUAAAUCCCUCAGUUCAAAUAAAUAAUUUAUUAUGAAUCUCACUCCUUAUUCUGUUUUCUGCCCAUUCUAAUUUCGAAAAAGUAAAUGCACCAUAAGUGCAUUGUUAGACUAUGCACUAACAACAUCACACAAAAUAUUACAUAAACUCGCAAUCAGUAGAAAGACGAAUAAUUAUUUGAUUUCAAAUCACCAUUUAUCUUUGAGAGGUUGGAAGAUUCAAGUGAAACUAAUACAUAUUUAAACAAAAUUUAUGUGUGAAGAAGAUGUACAAGUAGAGUAAAGAAAGCCUAGGCACGGGCCCGCCGGGGAAAUACUAAGCCCAUAUCGUUCAUCCACAGAGUAGGCUUUUUGACCCCCCCCCCCCCCCUCUCUUAUUUCCGUAUAAAAGUUUUUUUAAUUGAAAUUACUUAAAUAAUUAAUGAUAAGUUAAUUUCCUUUAUUUUGAAUGAGAAUUCAAUUAAACACUUAGAUAAAUUAUUUCUUAUUAAUUUCUUUCACACCUUUCUCAUUUCAUAAUUUAUAUUUAUAUUUUAAAAUUUAAUUGAAAAUAUUUUUUUUAGAAGCUUUUAAGAAUUUACAAUUAUAUAGAUAGAGAUUGCGUAAGAAGAAGAAAAUAAGUAAAGAUUUUAAUAUUUAUAAAUAUUUUAUAAAUAAAAACUUAAAAUAAACUUUUUUUUGGGUGAAAUUUAAUGACAAAAUGAUUAAUUUUAAUUUUUAGCUUAAUCUUCUGUAAAUCAAAUUGGGGUAUUUGAGGGAAUAACAUUUAAAAGGGGUUUCUAAGGAUUUUUUAGGGGUGUUAAAAGAUCCACUCGCAUUCGUAACAUUCACAUCAUACAGCUCGAAGCCCAUUAAGGCAGUAGGCUGGAACAACCCUAACCCUAAUGGCAAGUUCUUAGAAGCGACCGAGCGAUUAAGAACGUCGUCGUAAAACAAAACCCUACUAUAAAAGCCGUACAAGAACAAACCCUAAUUGCAUCUUCCCAAUCACACACAUAUAUAUAUAUAUUCAUCAGCCUGCCGCACAAGCUCAGUCUCUUUCGCCCUCUAAAGAAAUGGGUCGUGUGAUUCGCGCACAGCGUAAGGGUGCAGGUUCGGUCUUCAAGUCCCACACCCACCACCGUAAGGGUCCGGCCCAGUUCCGCAGCCUCGACUUCGGUGAGCGUAAUGGUUACCUCAAGGGUGUCGUCGCAGAGAUUAUUCACGAUCCGGGUCGUGGUGCCCCGCUGGCCCGAGUCACCUUUCGUCACCCUUUUCGCUACAUGAAACAAAAGGAGCUUUUCAUUGCCGCUGAGGGUAUGUACACGGGUCAGUUCGUGUACUGCGGCAAGAAAGCCACUCUGAUGGUUGGUAAUGUGUUGCCCGUUAGAUCUAUCCCUGAAGGAGCUG
rnacentral:lncRNA from 1 species